rnacentral:lncRNA from 1 species
UGCGGCAGGAUGAGCAAGCUGAAGCCUAGGAAACUUGUGCACAUACAGCUUCGAAGAGAGGUAGAGACCGAAGUGAGCAGCUGCUGCCGAAAAGGCCUUGAAACUCGGAACCGAGCUUGCAGACAAUGUGCAUCUGUUUCCCUUUGCCAUUUCUGGCGCAGGGUCCGGCUCGUCAAAGUUGGGAUGAAGCAUAGCAAGGUUUUAGAUAGAUCAAGGGGGAAAAUUUUCCGGUCCGGUCGUGUUAUUUCUUGGAUAGCGUUUGUUCAUUCUGGGUCGACUCUGUUUUUUCCGUCGUCGCAAUUUUCCUGGACAGAGCAGAGUGUGCAACUGUAAGAAAUGAUGAUGUCGUCACUGCUGUGAAAGAAAUUCCGUUGGUUGGUACUUAUGCAAAGUCUGCUUGGUUGCUUCCUCCUGAUGGUACCAAAAAUGUGUGUGUGUGUUGCUGACGUUGAAAUACAUACAGGAAAAUGAGGUAAUAGCACCCCAAGUGCCCUAACUUGCACAGAAUGUGACGAUUUAGUCCUAAAGUUGCAAAACUUGACUCCACCAUACCACAACUUGCACCUUAUGUGAUGAUUUAGUCCCAGGUCAAUCACAGCUCGCCAAUUGGCAGACAGGUGGCUGGACCGGUCAACGCACGCACUUUUGCACAAAACCCCGUGCCGUUUCCUUUUAUCAACCCGCAAUAUAGCACACCUGAAUUAAAUCUGUCGGAAUCGAGUUCACGGCCGGUUUGAGAGGAUUCACUUGGUUGUUGUGGGGGCGACAAAGCUCACAGGCUGGCUUGGCAAUGGUGACGUCAGCGACGGAGGCGUCGUCGCCGCCAUUCGCCGGCGGUGUGGAGACGCCGGCAUCUGCUCAUCUCGUCCGACCGUUCGGUGUAUACCAUCCUGAUUACUGUGAGCUCGUCGCCCCGCCUCUCCUUUCUUUUCGUCCCUCUCCUCGUCGCCCCGCCUCUGCUCUGCUCUGAGCUCGUCGCCCCGCCGUUUGCAGCUUGAAUCGCGUCCAUUUGUGCUGGAAUCGGGGUCGUGUAGUGGUGUUUUUUGCUUAGGAUCAUGUAUGGCGAAGUGCAGCUAGGGUUUCGGCCGAUGAGUUUAGGUUUGGGUUCGACAUGAUAGCUAGGGUUUAUGGCAGACAAAUUAGAUGUUUAUGCCUUUGUUGUUGGCUUUUCCUUCUGCUUUAGCUUGAACUCUACUCAAGCAUCAGCUUGUGUUGUGAAAUUUAACUCCUUUUUGCUGUUGAAGAUGUUUUGUACAGAUUAUAAACUUGGCUAUUUUGUUAUACACCAUUUAGUAUAGUUUUGGUAGUGCUAAUGGUAUGUGCAGCGAAGUUUCAGUGAAUUGAAUGGUUUUGUUAAUGGUUUGCUAAUGUUGUAUUUCAUUUAUGGUUAGUUUUAUUUAGUUCUCUUAAUAUGUUAAGUUAUCUGUAGUUAACUGAUUUUUUUCAGUUACUGUAUAACCGAAUCUUUUCAACUUACUGUAGUUAACUGAAAGGUUCAAGUAUGUUAACUGAACCUUAAGCUUUUGUUCAAGUAUGUUAAAUCUGAUGCAUCUUUGUUUUGAAUACAGUGUGUGAUGCAGCAACUGGAGAAAGGGUGGACAGUCCAUCUUUUACACUGGAGCUUGAGCAUGGUGGAAUUUUCUGUGGCCCAAUCAGUAACCUGGAGUACUGGAACCCUUCUGUUGAGGUGCUAGACUAUGUUGACUCUGGCACUUUCUCCUAUGCAUUCCUUGAACAACAGUUGAUUUGGUUGGGAUAUCCUGUGAGUGAGCACAUCAUUUACUUCAGCAAACCAAAUAAACCAAUAUCAGAUGAUUUGAUCAGAAUUAGCAGUGAUGAGGAUGUGCAGCAUAUGAUCAGAGCUAGUGCUGAGCAUAAGAUGCCUGUAGUCAUGGUUGACCAUACAGAUUUCAUCAGCAACUUCAGGUCUGACUUGGUGUGCACAUUGCCCCUACCUUUGAUAACAACAACAAGUUUUGCAGCAGCAAGUGCAUUCCCUUCCCAUAGCCUAGUUUCAGUGUUUGUAGAAGACCCUUUGUCAGAGAUUGCAGCAAAUGGAACAGACCCACAGAGUUUUCUUAUUGAGGGUACUGAGAACAACAUGCUAACUGAAGAUCCCUUCUCAGAGAUUGCACCAAUUGGAACAGACCCACACAAUUUGCUUAUUGAGGGUGCUGAGCACAACAUGCUAACUGAAGAUGGAGAAACAGUUAUUGAAUAUGUAGUUGUUUCAGAUUCUGAUUUUAGUGAUAGUGACUAUGACAUAGAUGAUGGUGAUGAUGAUCUUUAUGAUCACAACAUUGACUUUGAUGUUGAUGAAGAAGCUGAUCAGGAUGAGGAUGAUGUGGAGCCUGAACACUUGCUUGAGGAUGAAGAUCUCAACCUAUCAACUGAGCAAGCAGAUGAACUAAGGUACAAGUUUAAAGCCUUCAAUGCAAAGGUGUACAUGAUUUCCCCCGUUUUUAAAGUUGGGAUGGUAUUUGCUGAUGUGGUUGAGCUAAGACAUGCACUGACUGCAUAUUCAGUUAGAAACAGAGUGCAGAUCAAGAAGUUAAAGAAUGACAAGAGGAGACUUGAAGCAGUUUGUGAAAAUGGUUGCCCAUGGUAUUUGUAUGCUGGCAAUGACAACAGGACAGGGGGAUUUGUCAUCAAGACUUACUAUGGAGAACAUAUGUGUCAGAAGAAAUGGAAGAUAAGGUCACUGACAGCAAAAUUCCUGUGCAAGUACUUCAUAGAUGAGUUUAGAGAUGACCAGAAGAUGUCACUAGGUAUAUUUUCAAGAAAGAUCACCAAGGAAUUUCAUGUCACCCCUAACGGAUGGAAUCUAGCUAGGGCAAGUACUGCAUAACUUAAGGAGAUCCAUGGUGAUGAAGAAGAGCAGUUCAGUAGGCUUUGGGACUAUGGUCAUGAAUUGAGGAAUACCAACCCUGGGUCUACAUUUCUUCUGUCAACUGAGCUUGUUAAAGACAAAGAUUUCCCACUGGGCAGGGAAUGUUUGAAAACUCUAUAUUGGUCUUAUGAUGCAUGUAAAAGGGGGUGGCUCAAGGGAUGCAGACCUAUUAUUUUCAUUGAUGGUGAAGGAAAAAUGCCCUAGAGGCAAUAAUAAAGUUAUUAUUUAUUUCCUUAUAUCAUGAUAAAUGUUUAUUAUUCAUGCUAGAAUUGUAUUAACCGGAAACAUAAUACAUGUGUGAAUACAUAGACAAACAAAGUGUCACUAGUAUGCCUCUACUUGACUAGCUUGUUGAUCAAAGAUGGUUAUGUUUCCUAACCAUAGACAUGUGUUGUCAUUUGAUUAACAGGAUCACAUCAUUAGGAGAAUGAUGUGAUUUACAUGACCCAUUCCGUUAGCCUAGCACACAAUCGUUUAGUAUAUUGCUAUUGCUUUCUUCAUGACUUAUACAUGUUCCUAUGACUAUGAGAUUAUGCAACUCCCGUUUACCGGAGGAACACUUUGUGUGCUACCAAACGUCACAACGUAACUGGGUGAUUAUAAAGGAUCUCUACAGGUGUCUCCAAAGGUACAUGUUGGGUUGGCGUAUUUCGAGAUUAGGAUUUGUCACUCCGAUUGUCGGAAAGGUAUCUCUGGGCCCUCUCGGUAAUGCACAUCACUUAAGGCCUUGCAAGCAUUGCAACUAAUGAGUUAGUUGUGAGAUGAUGUAUUAUGGAACGAGUAAAGAGACUUGUCGGUAACGAGAUUGAACUAGGUAUUGAGAUACCGGCGAUCGAAUCUCGUGCAAGUAACAUACCGAUGACAAAGGGAACAACGUAUGUUGUUAUGCGGUCUGACCGAUAAAGAUCUUCAUAGAAUAUGUGGGAGCCAAUAUGAGCAUCCAGGUUCCGCUAUUGGUUAUUGACCGGAGACGUGUCUCAGUCAUGUCUACAUUGUUCUCGAACCCGUAGGGUCCGCACGCUUAACGUUACAAUGACAGUUACAUUAUGAGUUUAUAUAUUUUGAUGUAUCAAAGGUUUUUCGGAGUCCCGGAUAUGAUCACGGACUUGACGAGGAGUCUCGAAAUGGUCGAGACAUAAAGAUCGAUAUAUUGGACGACUAUAUUUGGACACCGGAAAGGUUCCGGGUGAGAUUGGGACAAUACCGGAUCAUCGGGAGGUUAUCGGAACCCCCUGGGAGUUAUAUGGGCCUUAUUGGGCCUUAGUGGAAAGGAGGGGAAAGGAGCAAGGGAGGGGGCGCGCCCCCCCAAGCCCAAUCUGAAUUGGGAGGCGGGUCGGCCCCCCUUUCCUUCCUCCCUCCUUCCUCUUCCUUCCCUCUCCUACUCCUAAUAGGAAAAGGGGGAGUCCUACUCCUGGUGGGAGUUGGACUCCCCCCUUGGGUGCGCCACCCCCCUUGGCCGCCCCCCUUCUCCACUCCUUUAUAUACGGAGGAGGGGGGCACCCCAUAGACACAACAAUUGAUCCCUUGGAUCUCUUAGCCGUGUGCGGUGCCCCCCUCCACCAUAGUCCACCUCGAUAAUACUGUAGCGGUGCUUAGGCGAAGCCCUGCGAUGGUAGAACAUCAAGAUCGUCACCACGCCGUCGUGCUGACAGAACUCUUCCCCGACACUUUGCUGGAUCGGAGUCCGGGGAUCGUCAUCGAGCUGAACGUGUGCUAGAACUCGAAGGUGCCGUAGUUUCGGUGCUUGAUCGGUCGGGCCGUGAAGACGUAUGACUACAUCAACCGCGUUGUUAUAACGCUUCCGCUACCGGUCUACGAGGGUACAUGGACAACACUCUCCCCUCUCGUUGCUAUGCAUCACCAUGAUCUUGCGUGUGCGUAGGAUUUUUUUUAAAAUUACUACGUUCCCCAACAGUGGCAUCAGAGCCAGGUUUUAUGCGUAGAUGUCAUAUGCACGAGUAGAACACAAGUGAGUUGUGGGCGAUAUAAGUCAUACUGCUUACCAGCAUGUCAUACUUUGGUUCGGUGGUAUUGUUGGAUGAAGCGGCCCGGACCGACAUUACGCGUACGCUUACACGAGACUGGUUCUACCGACAUGCUUUGCACACAGGUGGCUGGCGGGUGUCAGUUUCUCCAACUUUAGUUGAACCGAGUGUGGCUACGCCCGGUCCUUGCGAAGGUUAAAACAACACCAACUUGACAAACUAUCUUGUGGUUUUGAUGCGUAGGUAAGAACGAUUCUUGCUAAGCCCGUAGCAGCCACGUAAAACUUGCAACAACAAAGUAGAGGAUGUCUAACUUGUUUUUGCAGGGCAUGUUGUGAUGUGAGAUGGUCAAGACAUGAUGAUAAAUUUUAUUGUAUGAGAUGAUCAUGUUUUGUAACAGAGUUAUCGACAACUUGCAGGAGCCAUAUGGUUGUCGCUUUAUUGUAUGCAAUGCAAUCGCCCUGUAAUGCUUUACUUUAUCACUAAGCGGUAGCGAUAGUCGUAGAAGCAUAAGAUUGGCGAGACAAUAACGAUGCUACGAUGGAGAUCAAGGUGUCGCACCGGUGACAAUGGUGAUCAUGACGGUGCUUCGAAGAUGGAGAUCACAAUCACAAGAUGAUGAUGGCCAUAUCAUAUCACUUAUAUUGAUUGCAUGUGAUGUUUAUCUUUUAUGCAUCUUAUCUUGCUUUGAUUGACGGUAGCAUUAUAAGAUGAUCCCUCACUAAAUUAUCAUAGUAAAAGUGUUCUCCCUGAGUAUGCACCGUUGCGAAAGUUCUUUGUGCUGAGAAACCACGUGAUGAUCGGGUGUGAUAGGCUCUACGUUCAAAUACAAUGGGUGCAAAACAGUUGCACACGCGGAAUACUCAGGUUAAACUUGACGAGCCUAGCAUAUAACAGAUAUGGCCUCGGAACACGGAGACCGAAAGGUCGAGCGUGAAUCAUAUAGUAGAUAUGAUCAACAUAUUGAUGUUCACCGUUGAAACUACUCACGUGAUGAUCGGACAUGGUGUGGUUGAUAUGGAUCACGUAAUCACUUAGAGGAUUAGAGGGAUGUCUAUCUAAGUGGGAGUUCUUUAGUAAUAUGAUUAAUUGAACUUAAAUUUAUCAUGAACUUAGUACCUGAUAGUAUCUUGCUUGUCUAUGUUGAUUGUAGAUAGAUGGCCCGUGCUGUUGUUCCGUUGAAUUUUAAUGCGUUCCUUGAGAAAGCAAAGUUGAAAGAUGAUGGUAGCAAUUACACGGACUGGGUCCGUAACUUGAGGAUUAUCCUCAUUGCUGCAUAGAAGAAUUACGUCCUGGAAGCACCACUGGGUGCCAGGCCUGCUACUGGAGCAACGCCAGAUGUUAUGAACGUCUGGCAAAGCAAAGAUGAUGACUACUCUAUAGUUCAGUGUGCCAUGCUUUACGGCUUAGAACCGGGUCUUCAACGAUGUUUUGAACGUCAUGGAGCAUAUGAGAUGUUCCAAGAGUUGAAGUUAAUAUUUCAAGCAAAUGCCCGGAUUGAGAGAUAUGAAGUCUCCAAUAAGUUCUACAGCUGCAAGAUGGAGGAGAACAGUUCUUUCAGUGAGCAUAUACUCAAAAUGUCUGGGUAUAAUAAUCACUUGAUUCAACUGGGAGUUAAUCUUCCGGAUGAUAGCGUCAUUGAUAGAAUUCUCCAAUCACUGCCACCAAGCUACAAGAGCUUUGUGAUGAACUAUAAUAUGCAAGGGAUGGGAAAGACUAUUUUCGAGCUCUUCGCAAUGCUAAAAGCUGCGGAGGUAGAAAUCAAAAAGGAGCAUCAAGUGUUGAUGGUUAACAAUACCACUAGUUUCAAGAAAAAGGGCAAAGGGAAGAAGAAGGGAAACUUCAAGAAGAACAACAAACAAGUUGCUGCUCAGGAGAAGAAACCCAAGUCUGGACCUAAGCCUGAAACUGAGUGCUUCUACUGCAAGCAGACUGGUCACUGGAAGCGGAACUGCCCCAAGUACUUGGCGGAUAAGAAGGAUGGCAAGGUGAACAAAGGUAUAUGUGAUAUACAUGUUAUUGGUGUGUACCUUACUAAUGCUCGCAGUAGCACCUGGGUAUUUUAUACUGGUUCUGUUGCUAAUAUUUGCAACUCGAAACAGGGACUACGGAUUAAGCGAAGAUUAGCUAAGGACGAGGUGACGAUGCGCGUGGGAAAUGGUUCCAAAGUCGAUGUGAUCGCAGUCGGCACGCUACCUCUACAUCUACCUUCGGGAUUAGUUUUAGACCUAAAUAAUUGUUAUUUGGUGCCAACGUUAAGCAUGAACAUUAUAUCCGGAUCUUGUUUGAUGCGAGACGAUUAUUCAUUUAAAUCAGAGAAUAAUGGUUGUUCUAUUUAUAUGAGUAAUAUCUUUUAUGGUCAUGCACCCUUGAAGAGUGGUCUAUUUUUAUUGAAUCUCGAUAGUAGUGAUACACAUAUUCAUAAUGUUGAAGCCAAAAGAUGCAGAGUUGAUAAUGAUAGUGCAACUUAUUUGUGGCACUGCCGUUUAGGUUAUAUCGGUGUAAAGCGCAUGAAGAAACUCCAUACUGAUGGACUUUUGGAAUCACUUGAUUAUGAAUCACUUGGUACUUGCGAACCGUGCCUCAUGGGCAAGAUGACUAAAACACCGUUCUCCGGUACUAUGGAGAGAGCAACUGAUUUAUUGGGGAUCAUACAUACAGAUGUAUGUGGUCCGAUGAAUGUUGAGGCUCGUGGCGGAUAUCGUUAUUUUCUCACCUUCACAGAUGAUUUGAGCAGAUAUGGGUAUAUCUACUUAAUGAAGCAUAAGUCUGAAACAUUUGAAAAGUUCAAAGAAUUUCAGAGUGAAGUUGAAAAUCAUUGUAACAAGAAAAUAAAGUUUCUACAAUCUGAUCGUGGAGGAGAAUAUUUGAGUUACGAGUUUGGUCUACAUUUGAAACAAUGCGGAAUAGUUUCGCAACUAACGCCACCAGGAACACCACAGCGUAAUGGUGUGUCCGAACAUCGUAAUCGUACUUUACUAGAUAUGGUGCGAUCUAUGAUGUCUCUUACAGAUUUACCUCUAUCAUUUUGGGGUUAUGCUUUAGAGACGGCCACAUUCACGUUAAAUAGGGCACCAUCAAAAUCCGUUGAGACGACGCCUUAUGAACUGUGGUUUGGCAAGAAACCAAAGUUGUCGUUUCUGAAAGUUUGGGGCUACGAUGCUUAUGUGAAAAAGCUUCAACCUGAUAAGCUCGAACCCAAAUCGGAGAAAUGUAUCUUCAUAGGAUACCCAAAGGAGACUGUUGGGUACACCUUCUAUCACAGACCCGAAGGCAAGACGUUUGUCGCUAAAUUCGGAAACUUUCUAGAGAAGGAGUGUCUCUCGAAAGAAGUGAGUGGGAGGAAAGUAGAACUUGAUGAGGUAACAGUACCUGCUCCCUUAUUGGAAAGUAGUAUAUCACAGAAACAGGUUUCUGUGACACCUACACCAAUUAGUGAGGAAGAUAAUGAUGAUGAUCAUGUAACUUCAGAUCAAGUUGUUACUGAACCUCGUAGAUCAACCAGAGUAAGAUCCGCACCAGAGUGGUACGGUAAUCCUGUUCUGGAAGUCAUAUUACUAGACCAUGAUGAACCUACGAACUAUGAAGAAGCGAUGGUGAGCCCAGAUUCCGCAAAAUGGCUUGAGGCCAUGAAAUCUGAGAUGGGGUCCAUGUAUGAGAAAAAAGUGUGGACUUUGGUUGACUUGCCCGAUGAUCGACAAGCAAUUGAAAAUAAAUGGAUCUUCAAGAAGAAGACUGACGCUGACGGUAAUGUUACUGUCUACAAAGCUCGACUUGUCGCGAAAGGUUUUUGACAAGUUCAAGGGGUUUGACUACGAUGAGACCUUCUCACCCAUAGCGAUGCUUAAGUCUGUUCGAAUCAUGUUAGCAAUUGCCGCAUUUUAUGAUUAUGAAAUAUGGCAGAUGGAUGUCAAAACUGCAUUCCUGAAUGGAUUUCUGGAAGAAGAAUUGUAUAUGAUGCAACCGGAAGGUUUUGUCGAUCCAAAGGGAUCUAACAAAGUGUGCACGCUCCAGCGAUCCAUUUAUGGACUGGUGCAAGCCGCUCGGAGUUGGAAUAAACGCUUUGAUAGUGUGAUCAAAGCAUUUGGUUUUUUAUAUAGACUUUUGGAGAAGCCUAUAUUUACAAGAAAGUGAGUGGGAGCUCUGUAGCAUUUCUGAUACUAUAUGUAGAUGACAUAUUGCUGAUCGGAAAUGAUAUAGAAUUUCUGGAUAGCAUAAAAAGGAUACUUGAAUAAAAGUUUUUCAAUGAAAGACCUCGGUGAAGCUGCUUACAUAUUGGGCAUUAAGAUCUAUAGAGAUAGAUCAAGAUGCUUAAUUGGACUUUCACAAAGCACAUACCUUGACAAAGUUUUGAAGAAGUUCAAAAUGGAUCAAGCAAAGAAAGGGUUCUUGCCUGUGUUACAAGGUGUGAAGUUGAGUAAGACUCAAUGCCCGACCACUGCAGAAGAUAGAGAAAAGAUGAAAGAAGUUCCGUAUGCUUCAGCCAUAGGAUCUAUCAUGUAUGCAAUGUUGUGUACCAGACCUGAUGUGUUCCUUGCUAUAAGUUUAGCAGGGAGGUACCAAAGUAAUCUAGGAGUGGAUCAUUGGACAACGGUCAAGAACAUCCUGAAAUACCUGAAAAGGACUAAGGAUAUGUUUCUCGUUUAUGGAGGUGACAAAGAGCUCAUCGUAAAUGGUUACGUUGAUGCGAGCUUUGACACUGAUCCGGAUGAUUCUAAAUCGCAAACCGUAUACGUGUUUACAUUGAACGGUGGAGCUGUCAGUUGGUGCAGUUCUAAACAAAGCGUUGUGGCAGGAUCUACAUGUGAAACGGAGUACAUAGCUGCUUUAGAAACAGCAAACGAAGGAGUCUGGAUGAAGGAGUUCAUAUCCGAUCUAGGUGUCAUACCUAGUGCAUCGGGUCCAAUGAAAAUCUUUUGUGACAAUACUGGUGCAAUUGCUUUGGCGAAGGAAUCCAGAUUUCACAAAAGAACCAAGCACAUCAAGAGACGCUUCAAUUCCAUUCGGGAUUUAGUCCAAGUGGGAGACAUAGAAAUUUGCAAGAUACAUACGGAUCUGAAUGUAGUAGAACCGUUGACUAAGCCUCUUCCACGAGCAAAACAUGAUCAGCACCAAGGCUCCAUGGGUGUUAGAAUCAUUACAGUGUAAUCUAGAUCAUACUAGAAUUGUAUUAACCAGAAACAUAAUACAUGUGUGAAUACAUAGACAAACAGAGUGUCACUAGUAUGCCUCUACUUGACUAGCUUGUUGAUCAAAGAUGGUUAUGUUUCCUAACCAUAGACACGUGUUGUCAUUUGAUUAACGGGAUCACAUCAUUAGGAGAAUGACGUGAUUGACAUGACCCAUUCCGUUAGCUUAGCACACGAUCGUUUAGUAUAUUGCUAUUGCUUUCUUCAUGACUUAUACAUGUUCCUAUGACUAUGAGAUUAUGCAACUUCCGUUUACCGGAGGAACACUUUGUGUGCUACCAAACGUCACAACGUAACUGGGUGAUUAUAAAGGAGCUCUACAGGUGUCUCCAAAGGUACAUGUUGGGUUGGCGUAUUUCGAGAUUAGGAUUUGUCACUCCGAUUGUCGGAGAGGUAUCUCUGGGCCCUCUCGGUAAUGCACAUCACUUAAGCCUUGCAAGCAUUGCAACUAAUGAGUUAGUUGUGAGAUGAUGUAUUACGGAACGAGUAAAGAGACUUGCCGGUAACGAGAUUGAACUAGGUAUUGAGAUACCAACGAUCGAAUCUCGUGCAAGUAACAUACCGAUGACAAAGGGAACAACAUAUGUUGUUGUGCGGUCUGACCGAUAAAGAUCUUCGUAGAAUAUGUGGGAGCCAAUAUGAGCAUCCAGGUUCCGCUAUUGGUUAUUGGCCGGAGACGUGUCUCGGUCAUGUCUACAUUGUUCUCGAACCCGUAGGGUCCGCACGCUUAACGUUACGAUGACAGUUUCAUUAUGAGUUUAUAUAUUUUGAUGUAUCGAAGGUUGUUCGGAGUCCCGGAUAUGACCACGGACUUGACGAGGAGUCUCGAAAUGGUCGAGACAUAAAGAUCGAUAUAUUGGACGACUAUAUUUGGACACCAGAAAGGUUCCGGGUGAGAUUGGGACAAUACCGGAUCACCGGGAGGUUAUCGGAACCCCCCGGGAGGUAUAUGGGCCUUAUUGGGCCUUAGUGGAAAGGAGGGGAAAGGAGCAAGGGAAGGGGCGCGACCCCCCCAAGCCCAAUCCGAAUUGGGAGGGGGGCCGGCCCCCCCUUUCCUUCCUCUUCCUUCCCUCUCCUACUCCUAAUAGGAAAAGGGGGAGUCCUACUCCCGGUGGGAGUUGGACUCCCCCCUUGGGCGCGUCACCCCCCUUGGCCGGCCCCCUCCUCCACUCCUUUAUAUACGGAGGAGGGGGGCACCCCAUAGACACCACAAUUGAUCCCUUGGAUCUCUUAGCCGUGUGCGGUGCCCCCCUCCACCAUAGUCCACCUCGAUAAUACUGUAGCGGUGCUUAGGCGAAGCCCUGCGACGUUAGAACAUCAAGAUCAUCACCACGCCGUCGUGCCGACAUAAUUCUUCCCUGACACUUUGCUGGAUCGGAGUCCGGGGAUCGUCAUCGAGCUGAACGUGUGCUAGAACUCAGAGGUGCCAUAGUUUCGGUGCUUGAUCGGUCGGGCCAUGAAGACGUACGACUACAUCAACCGUGUUGUUAUAACGCUUCCGCUAUCGGUCUAUGAGGGUACGUGGACAACACUCUCCCCUCUUGUUGCUAUGCAUCACCAUGAUCUUGCGUGUGCGUAGGAUUUUUUUUUUGAAAUUACUACGUUCCCCAACAGAUGGUUGUCACAUGAAAAAUAGGUUUAAAGGAGUGUUACUUAGUGCAGUAGGUAUUGAUCCUAAUGACUGCAUUUUCCCCAUUGCAAUGUGUUGGGUAGAAGUAGAGUGCACAAGUUCUUGGGAGUGGUUUCUCACUACUUUGAGAGAUGACCUUAACAUCACAAAUACUGCUCCUUUCACUAUUAUGAGUGACAAGGAGAAAGGUUUGAUCAAUGUUGUGCAAAAAAUCUGGCCAGAUGCUGAGCAUAGGUUUUGUGUUAGGCAUAUUUAUCAGAAUUUCAAUAAGAAGCACAAAGGAGAGUUGCUGAAGCAAGAUCUGUGGGCCAUUGCAAGAGCACCAAACAGGGUGAAGUGGAGCCAAAACUGUGAGAAAAUGGAUGGACACAGUGCAACUGCCUUCCACUGGACUGAAAGACUUGAUCCAAAGACAUGGUGUAAAUCAUUUUUAGUGUCUUUUCCAAGUGUGAUAUUCUGCUGAACAAUAACUCUGAAGUAUUUAACAGCUACAUUCUGGAGGGCAGAGAAAUGCCAGUGUUGUCAAUGCUGGAAUACAUUUUUUACAAGAUCAUGCAAAGGCUAGUGAGUAAACAGAGAGAGGCCUGCUACAUCUUGAGCUUGCGUUGGUUUUCCUUGAAGAGGAAAGGGUGAUGCAGCAAUAGUAGCGUAAGUAUUUCCCUCAGUUUUUGAGAACCAAGGUAUCAAUCCAGUAGGAGGCUCCUCAAAAGUCCCACGCACCUACACAAACAAACAAGAACUCACAACCAACGCAAUAAAGGGGUUGUCAAUCCCUUCACAGCCACUUGCGAAAGUGAGAUAUGAUAGAGAUAGUAUGAUAAGAUAAAUAUAUUUUUGGUAUUUUAUAAUAUAGAUUGGAAAAGUAAAGAUGCAAAUAAAAGUAGAUUGGAAGCUUAUAUGAUAAAAGAUAGACCCCGGGGCCAUAGGUUUCACUAGUGGCUUCUCUCAAGAUAGCAUAAGUAUUACGGUGGGUGAACAAAUUACUAUCAAGCAAUUGAUAGAAAAGCAAAUAAUUAUGAGAUUAUCUAGGCAUGAUCAUGUAUAUAGGCAUCAUGUCCGUGACAAGUAGACCGACUCCUGCCUGCAUCUACUACUAUUACUCCACACAUCGACCGCUAUCCAGCAUGCAUCUAGAGUAUUAAGUUCGUAAAGAACAGAGUAAUGCAGUAAGAAAGAUGACAUGAUGUAGAGGGAUAAACUCAUGCAAUAUGAUAUAAACCCCAUCUUUUUAUCCUCGAUGGCAACAAUACAAUACGUGCCUUGCUGCCCCUGCUGUCACUGGGAAAGGACACCGGAAGAUUGAACCCAAAGCUAAGCACUUCUCCCAUUGCAAGAAAGAUCAAUCUAGUAGGCCAAACCAAACUGAUAAUUCGAAGAGACUUGCAAAGAUAACUUAAUCACACAUAAAAGAAUUCAGAGGAGAUUCAAAUAUUUCUCAUAUAUAAACUUGAUCAUAAACCCACAAUUCAUCGGAUCUCGACAAACACACCACAAAAAGAGUUACAUCGAAUAGAUCUCCAAGAAGAUCGAGGAGAACAUGGUAUUGAGAUCCAAAAAGAGAGAAGAAGCCAUCUAGCUAAUAACUAUGGACCCGAAGGUCUGUGGUAAACUACUCACAACUCAUCGGAGAGGCCUUGGAGAUGAUGUAGAGGCCCUCCAUGAUCGAUUCCCCCUCCGACGGAGAGCCGACGAAGGCUCCAAGAUGGGAUCUCGCGGAUACAGAAGGUUGUGGCGGUGGAAUUAGGUUUUUGUGGUCUGUUCUGAUGUUCUCGGGGUACGUGUGUAUAUAUAGGAGGAAGAAGUAGGUCGGUGGAUGCCCGAGGGGCCCAUGAGAUAGGGGGCGCGCCUAGUGGGGGGGGGGGCUUCCACCCUCGUGGCCGCCUCGGAUGUUGCUUGAAUUCCACUCCAAGUCCUCUGAAUCAUGUUCGUUCCAAAAAUCACGCUCCCAAAGGUUUCAUUCCAUUUGGACUCCGUUUGAUAUUCCUUUUCUUCAAAAUACAGAAAUAGGCAAAAAACAACAAUACGGGCUGGGCCUCCGGUUAGUAGGUUAGUCCCAAAAAUGAUAUAAAAGUGUAAAGUAAAGCCCAUAAACAUCCAAAACGGGUAAUAUAAUAGCAUGGACCAAUCAAAAAUUAUAGAUACGUUGGAGACGUAUCAAGGCCAUAGAGAAGUGGGCAGGGCAGAGAAUAUGCCCAAAGAUCAGGAAGAAACUAGACAAGAACACUGAGUUUGCUGCUAAUUGCCAUGUCUUAGAAGCUGGCCAACAAUUGUUCAAAGUUCAGUCUGGUAACUCAAGUUAUAUAGUUGACUUGUGCUUGCACACUUGUGACUGCAGGAGAUGGCAGCUGUCUGGAGUACCAUGUGGCCAUAGUAUAGCAUGCUGCAGGGAGGAGAGAAUUGACCAUGAGACAAUGGUGCAUGAAUGCUACACUGUGGAGAAUUAUCUGAAAGCAUAUGGAUACACUCUUGUUCCACUUAGAGAUCCAAAUCAUUGGGAGCCACAUAAUGGUUACAAAGUAUAUCCACCAGUUUUCACUAAACAGUUGGGAAGGCCAAAGAAAAAUAGGAAGAAAACACUAGAAGAGAAGAGAAGCAAGAAUGGUGUUAGAUAUUUGAACAAAAAAUGGUGUGACAAUGCACUGCUCAAUUUGUGGCAGAGCUGACCACAACAGGAAAGGGCACUACAGAUGGCAGGAAGCACUAAUUGCAGAAGGAGUAGAGCUUGUUGAUGAGAACUAUGAUGACCCAACAUUUCUUCAGGUAUGCUUCAGUUGCAUCUCAUUUUUUAUAGUUGGCUCUACUGAAUGAAAUGUGGUUAACUGCCUAAAAUGAGCUUAUCUGAAGGCAAAAAAAUUUCUUUGCAGAACAUCUUCCCAAACAGGCUAGAUCCUAGGUUGGAUCCUGCUGAGUCACCAACCAGUAUGGUUUUUAACAUGGCCACCAGGGAGAGAGCAAGAAGAGCUCCUCAAAGGGUCCAUGGCCCACUGCCUGAGCUCUCUUCAUUUGUUGCUGCUGCAGGGGCUGAAAUACCACAACCCAGGGUGACUACAAAAAUGAAUAUUGCUAGGCAGACAAGGGCAAGGACUGAAGCUGACAUUGCAAGAGGAAAGAAAAGGAGAGGUAGAGGUGAGGUACAUCCAAAUGCAAGAAGAGGCAGAGGAGCAAGUGCAAUCUCAGCUCCAUGAAGAGGGAGAGGAGCAAGUGCAGUCUCAGCUCCAGGAAGAGGUGCCAGUGCAGAUGCAGCUCCAGGAAGAGGGAGAGGAGUAACUGCAGUCUCAGCUCCAGGAAGAGGUGCCAGUGCGGAUGCAGCUCCAGGAAGAGGGAAAGGAGCAAAUGCAGAAGCUGGGAGAGGGAGAGGAGGCAGGAAUGUGCAUGCAUGGAGAGGGAGAGGAGGAAGACAUGCAGGUGCAGGAAUAGGGAGAGGAAGAAUUCCAGGUGAGAGGGCAUGGUGGCUGCUAUUUGGAGAAGACAUGGGCAGUCAAAUUCCAGACCUCAAUGCUCCUCCUGAAGAUUUUCCUGCUGCCUGAUCUACUAGCAAUUCUCAGUGCCAUUUUUUGAAAAGGCCAAUACUUAUGUAACUCAUAAACUGGCCUUUGUUUUGUUAUUCAAACUGUGGCAUACCUUGCUUCUUUUUUGAAGGCAAAAAGUGGCAUACAGUGCCCACUUUUUUGAUGGCAAACCAUGGCAGACAUUGCCCUUUUUCAAAUUUCAGUGCACAAUGAGCUAGUUUACUUACUUGCACAAUGAUUUAGUUUAAAAAAAAUUGAAAACAAAAAAUGCAGGCCUGGGGCUCGAACCCAGGACCUGGGGUUUAUAACGCUGCGUGCAAUGCCAGUGGGACAGAGGUAUUGAUUUGUUCUAAUAGCACCUUAUGUACAUAAUGUUAUUUUAUUUGUCCUGCAUUUUAGCAUGCGUUGCGGCCUCUACCAGACGACCGUGCGUAGCGUAGCCUUGUCGUUUCAGUUUCCUCUCCUUUAAGAUGUGUCAACCUGCCGUUCUCCCUCUCCACUCACUGUUCGCACAGUCCACUCCUCCCCCACUCCCUCUGCCAACCACCCAAUAGACCUGUCUCGACGACCAUGCCACCACCGCCGCCGCCAUGGACCAGAGUCUAGGAUGGCAGAAAGCCGUCGAAGAGCUGGCCGGGGACAACCAGGAGAUUCACGCGCAAUACAAGGAGAUCGCGCGGUGGUUCCCAAGUGUUCGGAUGAUGCGGAUCCACGCGCGCGGUCUUGUCAAGGUGAUGACGGAUGAUGAGAAGCGCCAUGCCUUCCCUGACGGCUUCAACGUUCCUCCGGCGACCAUCCUCCUGUGGGCAAUGCGCGAGGUUCAGCGCUCCCCCGACCCCAACCAGCACGCCCGCUGGUGGAUGUACCGCUCAUCCACCACAGCAUCGGCCCAGGAGGAUGCAGAGUGCGUUGGGUCCAGGACCGAGCACGUCGUCGACAUCGUGCUUGCCCUGCCGGCGCCCGUCAACGCCACCUACUGGGACCGCCAAGGUCCAUCUGUCUUCCUGGGGCUAGACGGCGACUCCGAGGAUGAGUCAUCUGACGAGGAGGUGCCGGAGGUCAUCGUGCUGUCAGACUAUGAGCCAGUGGUGCAGAUCGUUGCGCCGGUCGGAGCCGCCAUGGAGGGUGGCUGCAACCUUCCCAUUGAGGUGGACGACCUGCCAGAUCUUCCUGAAUCCGGCAUCAUCAAGCAGGAGGUUGAGGAGGAGGGUGUGGCGGCGCCUGCAGUUCAGGAAGUGAAGAAGAAGAAGAGAGCACCAGUGAAGAUGACAGUUGUGGAGGUGCGCCGCUCCGAGUGCCUGAAGCUGCUCAAGAAGUGAAGAUGGUGAUGCAGAACUGUUAAGGUGUGUCUGCAGAUGGUGCUGCUUAGGUAUGUUGUUAUAUCACAACAUAUAAGUUAGAAAUAUGAAGUUCUUAGCUAGGUAUGCUGAUAUAUCACAACAUAUAAGUUAGUAAAGAUCGUCCUGUUAGCUAGGUAUGUUGUUAUAUAAUCACAACAUAUAAGUUACAACUCUUUUGGACAUGCUAUGGUUAGGUGUGCUACUAUAUAAAGGACAUAAGUUAUCUGUAAUUAUGUGGUUUGGAAAGUGGACUAUGAAUCUGCAUGAUGUUGGUAUGCAACUGGAGUGGUUUGCCUAAUGUGGUGUGCUGUGAUUAUAUGCAUUGUACUGCUUGGUUUGUUUCUAUCUGCAUGUGGAUAGUUUGACAGACCAAAUGUAGCACUUACUAUAAAUAGCAAAAAAUCAGUUAUCAAACAAUUUUCAGUGAAAAUUCAGUUAAGAUCAAUUCUGUUAGAAUUCAGUGCAAGUUCAGCUUAGUGAAGUUAAAUUUCAGUGAAAGUUUAGUACAAUUCAGUUAAGUUUAGUUAAAAUUCAGUUAAAAUUAUCAGUCAAAUUCAGUAUAAUUGAGUACAAUUUAGUUAAGUUUAGUUUAAAAUUAUCAGUCAAAUUCAGUACAAUUCAGUUAAGCUUAGAUAAAAUUCAGUGAACUAAGUAAGCAUUGUGGGACUAAUAAUGGGCUAGUUUUUUUUUUUACUUUUGUCACUAAUUUUUGACUCUAAUAUUGGGCCUACCUACCACCAUUAAUGUUGGGUUUCGUAGUAAUUUCAAAAAUUUUCCUACGCACACACAGGAUCAUGUGAUGCAUAGCAACGAGGGGAGAGUAUUGUCUACGUACCCAACGCAGACCGACUGCGGAAGCGAUGACACGACGUAGAGGAAGUAGUCGUACGUCUUCACGAUCCAACCGAUCAAGUACCGAAACUACGACACCUCCGAGUUCGAGCACACGUUCAGCUCGAUGACGAUCCCCAGACUCCGAUCCAGCAAAGUGUCGGGGAAGAGUUUCGUCAGCACGACGGCGUGGUGACGAUCUUGAUGAACUACAGCAGCAGGGCUUCGCCUAAACUCCGCUACAGUAUUAUCGAGGAAUAUGGUGGCAGGGGGCACCGCACACGGCUAAGGAAUAGAUCACAUGGAUCAACUUGUGUCAACUUGUGUGUUUAGAGGUGCCCCUGCCUCCGUAUAUAAAGGAGGAGAGGAGGGGAGGCUGGCCGGCCAAGGGGGGGAGGCGCAGGAGAGUCCUACUCCCUCUGGGAGUAGGAUUCCCCCUCCAAUCCUAGUCCAACUAGGAUUCCUCGGAGGGGAAAAGAGGAGGAGGGGGCCGGCCACCUCUCCUAGUUGUUUCAUAACAACAUACGUUGUUCCCUUUGUCAUCGGUAUGUUACUUGCCCGAGAUUCGAUCGUCGGUAUCCAAUACCUAGUUCAAUCUCGUUACUGGCAAGUCUCUUUACUCGUUCCGUAAUACAUCAUCUCACAACUAACAUAUUAGUUGUAAUGCUUGCAAGGCUUAUGUGAUGUGUAUUACCGAGAGGGCCNNNNNNNNNNNNNNNNNNNNNNNNNNNNNNNNNNNNNNNNNNNNNNNNNNNNNNNNNNNNNNNNNNNNNNNNNNNNNNNNNNNNNNNNNNNNNNNNNNNNNNNNNNNNNNNNNNNNNNNNNNNNNNNNNNNNNNNNNNNNNNNNNNNNNNNNNNNNNNNNNNNNNNNNNNNNNNNNNNNNNNNNNNNNNNNNNNNNNNNNNNNNNNNNNNNNNNNNNNNNNNNNNNNNNNNNNNNNNNNNNNNNNNNNNNNNNNNNNNNNNNNNNNNNNNNNNNNNNNNNNNNNNNNNNNNNNNNNNNNNNNNNNNNNNNNNNNNNNNNNNNNNNNNNNNNNNNNNNNNNNNNNNNNNNNNNNNNNNNNNNNNNNNNNNNNNNNNNNNNNNNNNNNNNNNNNNNNNNNNNNNNNNNNNNNNNNNNNNNNNNNNNNNNNNNNNNNNNNNNNNNNNNNNNNNNNNNNNNNNNNNNNNNNNNNNNNNNNNNNNNNNNNNNNNNNNNNNNNNNNNNNNNNNNNNNNNNNNNNNNNNCCUCUGGGAGUAGGAUUCCCCCUCCAAUCCUAGUCCAACUAGGAUUCCUCGGAGGGGAAAAGAGGAGGAGGGGGCCGGCCACCUCUCCUAGUUGUUUCAUAACAACUAGUAUGUUGUUAUGCGGUCUGACCGAUCUUUAUCGGUCAGACCGCAUAACAACAUACGUUGUUCCCUUUGUCAUCGGUAUGUUACUUGCCCGAGAUUCGAUCGUCGGUAUCCAAUACCUAGUUCAAUCUCGUUACUGGCAAGUCUCUUUACUCGUUCCGUAAUACAUCAUCUCACAACUAACAUAUUAGUUGUAAUGCUUGCAAGGCUUAUGUGAUGUGUAUUACCGAGAGGGCCGAGAGAUACCUCUCUGACAAUCGGAGUGACAAAUCCUAAUCUCGAAAUACGCCAACCCAACAUCGACCAUUGGAGACACCUGUAGUACUCCUUUAUAAUCACCCAGUUACGUUGUGACGUUUGGUAGUACCCAAAGUGUUCCUCCGAUAAACGGGAGUUGCAUAAUCUCAUAGUCAUAGGAACAUGUAUAAGUCAUGAAGAAAGCAAUAGCAACAUACUAAACGAUCGGGUGCUAAGCUAAUGGAAUGGGUCAUGUCAAUCAGAUCAUUCUGCUAAUGAUGUGACCUCGUUAAUCAAAUAACAACUCAUUGUUCAUGGUUAGGAAACAUAACCAUCUUUGAUUAACGAGCUAGUCAAGUAGAGGCAUACUAGUGACACUUUGUUUGUCUAUGUAUUCACACAUGUAUUAUGUUUCCGGUAAAUACAAUUCUAGCAUGAAUAAUAAACAUUUAUCAUGAUUAUAAGGAAAUAAAUAAUAACUUUAUUAUUGCCUCUAGGGCAUAUUUCCUUCAGUCUCCCACUUGCACUAGAGUCAAUAAUCUAGUUCACAUCGUCAUGUGAUUUAACACCAAUAUUCAUAUCUGUAUAUGAUUAACACCCAUAGUUCACAUCAUCAUGUGACCAACACCCAAAGGGUUUACUAGAGUCAAUAAUCUAGUUCACAUUGCUAUGUGAUUAACAUCCAAAGAGUACUAAGGUGUGAUCAUGUUUUGCUCGUGAGAGAAGCUUAGUCAACGGGUCUAUCACAUUCAGAGCCGUAUGUAUUUUGCAAAUAUUCUAUGUCUACAAUGCUCUGUACGGAGCUACUCUAGCUAAUCGCUCCCACUUUCAAUAUGUAUCCAGAUUGAGUCUUAGAGUCAUCUGGAUUAGUGUAAAAGUUUGCACUGAUGUAACUUUUACAACAAACUCUUUUAUCACCUCCAUAAUCGAGAAACAUCUCCUUAGUCCUUACUAAGGAUAUUCUUGACCAAUGUCCAGUGAUCUACUCCUAGAUCACUAUUGUACUCCCUUGCCAAAUACAGAGCAAGGUAUACAAUAGGUCUGGUACAAAGCAUAGCAUACUUUAUAGAACCUAUGACUGAGGCAUAGGGAAUGACUUUUCAUUCUCUUUCUAUUUUCUGCUGUGGUCGGGAUUUGAGUCUUACUCAAUUUCAUACCUUUGCAACACAGGCAAGAACUCUUUCUUUAACUGUUCCAUUUUGAACUAUUUCAAAAUCUUGCCAAGGUAUGUAUUCAUUGAAAAUCUUAUCAAGCGUCUUGAUCUAUCUCAAUAGAUCUUGAUGCUCAAUAUAUAAGUAGCUUUUUACUGAGGUCUUUUCUUUUUAAAGAACUCCUUUAAAACACUCCUUUAUGCUUUGCAGAAAAAUUCUACAUCAUUUCUGAUCAACAAUAUGUCACUCACAUAUACUAAUCAGAAAGGCUGUAGUGCUCCCACUCACUUUAUUGUAAAUACAGGCUUCAUCGUAAGUCCAUAUAAAACUAUAUGCUUUGAUCAACUUAUCAAAGUAUAUAUUCCAACUCCGAGAUGCUUGCACCAGUCCAUAGAUGGAUCGCUGGAGCUUGCACAUUUUGUUAGCACCUUUAGGAUUGACAAAACCUUCUGGUUGCAUCAUAUACAACUCUUCUUUAAUAAAUCCAUUAAGGAAUGCAGUUUUGACAUCCAUUUGCCAGAUUUCAUAAAAUGUGGCAAUUGCUAACAUGAUUCAGAUAGACUUAAGCAUCGAUACGAGUGAGAAAACCUCAUCGUAUUCAACACCUUGAACUUGUUGAAAAACUUUUGCAACAAGUCGAGCUUGGUAGAUAGUAACACUACUAUCAGUGUCCGUCUUCCUCUUGAAGAUCCAUUUAUUUAACAUGGCUUUGCUGAUCAUCGAGCAAGUCAAUCAAAGUCCAUACUUUGUUGUCAUACAUGGAUCAUAUCUCAGAUUUUAUGGCUUCAAGCCACUUUGCGGAAUCUGGGCUCACCAUCGCUUCUUCAUAGUUCGUAGGUUCAUCAUGAUCUAGUAGCAUGACUUCCAGAACAGGAUUACCGUACCACUCUGGUGUGGAUCUUACUCUGGUUGAUCUACGAGGUUCAGUAGUAUCUUGAUCUGAAGUUUCAUGAUCAUUAUCAUUGGCUUCCUCACUAACUGGUGUAGGUGUCACUGAAACAGUUUUCUGUGAUGAACUACUUUCCAGUAAGGGAGCAGGUACAGUUACCUCGUCAAGUUCCACUUUCCUCCCACUCACUUCUUUCGAGAGAAACUCCUUCUCUAGAAAUGAUCCAUUCUUAGCAACGAAUGUCUUGCCUUCGGAUCUGUGAUAGAAGGUGUACCCAACAGUUUCCUUUGGGUAUCCUAUGAAGACACAUUUCUCCGAUUUGGGUUCGAGCUUAUCAGGUUGAAGCUUUUUCACAUAAGCAUCGCAGCCCCAAACUUUAAGAAACGACAACUUUGGUUUCUUGCCAAACCACAGUUCAUAAGGCGUCGUCUCAACGGAUUUUGAUGGUGCCCUAUUUAACGUGAAUGCGGCCGUCUCUAAAGCAUAUCCCCAAAAAGAUAGCGGUAAAUCAGUAAGAGACAUCAUAGAUCGCACCAUAUCUAGUAAAGUAUGAUUACGACGUUCGGACACACCAUUACGCUGUGGUGUUCCGGGUGGCGUGAGUUGCGAAACUAUUCCACAGUUUUUCAAAUGUACACCAAACUCGUAACUCAAAUAUUCUCCUCCACGAUCAGAUCGUAGAAACUUUAUUUUCUUGUUACGAUGAUUUUCAACUUCACUCUGAAAUUCUUUGAACUUUUCAAAUGUUUCAGACUUAUGUUUCAUUAAGUAGAUAUACCCAUAUCUGCUUAAAUCAUCUGUGAAGGUGAGAAAAUAACGAUAUCCGCCACGAGCCUCAAUAUUCAUCGGGCCACAUACAUCGGUAUGUAUGAUUUCCAACAAAUCUGUUGCUCUCUCCAUAGUACUGGAGAACGGUGUUUUAGUCAUCUUGCCCAUGAGGCACGGUUCGCAAGUACCAAGUGAUUCAUAAUCAAGUGGUUCCAAAAGUCCAUCAGCAUGGAGUUUCUUCAUGCGCUUUAUACCGAUAUGACCUAAACGACAGUGCCACAAAUAAGUUGCACUUUCAUUAUCAACUCUGCAUCUUCUGGCUUCAAUAUUAUGAAUAUGUGUAUUACUACUAUCGAGAUUCAAUAAGAAUAGACCACUCUUCAAGGGUGCAUGACCAUAAAAGAUAUUACUCAUAUAAAUAGAACAACCAUUAUUCUCUGAUUUAAAUGAAUAACCGUCUCGCAUUAAACAAGAUCCAGAUAUAAUGUUCAUGCUCAACGCUGGCACCAAAUAACAAUUAUUUAGGUAUAAUAUUAAUCCCGAAGGUAGAUGUAGAGGUAGUGUGCCGACUGCGAUCACAUCGACUUUGGAACCGUUUCCCACGCGCAUCGUCACCUCGUCCUUUGCCAGUGCCCGCUUAUUCCGUAGUCCCUGUUUCGAGUUGCAAAUAUUAGCAACAGAACCAGUAUCAAAUACCCAGGUGCUACUACGAGCUCUAGUAAGGUACACAUCAAUAACAUGUAUAUCACAUAUACCUUUAUUCACCUUGCCAUCCUUCUUAUCCGCCAAAUACUUGGGGCAGUUUCGCUUCCAGUGACCAGUCUGCUUGCAGUAGAAGCACUCAGUUUCAGGCUUAGGUCCAGACUUGGGUUUCUUCUCUUGAGCAGCAACUUGCUUGCCGUUCUUCUUGAAGUUCCCCUUUUUCUUCCCUUUGCCCUUUUUCUUGAAACUAGUGGUCUUGUUAACCAUCAACACUUGAUGCUCCUUCUUGAUUUCUACCUCCGCAGCUUUCAGCAUUGCGAAGAGCUCGAGAAUAGUCUUGUUCAUCCCUUGCAUAUUAUAGUUCAUCACGAAGCUCUUGUAGCUUGGUGGCAGUGAUUGAAGAAUUCUGUCAAUGACGCAAUCAUCCGGAAGAUUAACUCCCAAUUGAAUCAAGUGAUUAUUAUACCCAGACAUUUUGAGUAUAUGCUCACUGACAGAACUGUUCUCCUCCAUCUUGCAGCUAUAGAACUUAUUGGAGACUUCAUAUCUCUCAAUUCGGGCAUUUGCUUGAAAUAUUAACUUCAACUCCUGGAACAUCUCAUAUGCUCCAUGACGUUCAAAACGUCGUUGAAGUCCCGAUUCUAAGCCGUAAAGCAUGGCACACUGAACUAUCGAGUAGUCAUCAGCUUUGCUCUGCCAGACGUUCAUAACAUCUGGUGUUGCUCCAGCAGCAGGCCUGGCACCCAGCGGUGCUUCCAGGACGUAAUUUUUCUGUGCAGCAAUGAGGAUAAUCCUCAAGUUACGGACCCAGUCCGUGUAAUUGCUACCAUCAUCUUUCAAUUUUGCUUUCUCAAGGAACGCAUUAAAAUUCAACAGAACAACAGCACGAGCCAUCUAUCUACAAUCAACAUAAACAAGCAAGAUACUAUCAGGUACUAAGUUCAUGAUAAAUUUAAGUUCAAUUAAUCAUAUUAUUUAAGAACUCCCACUUAGAUAGACAUCCCUCUAAUCCUCUAAGUGAUUACGUGAUCCAAAUCAACUAAACCAGGACCGAUCAUCACGUGAGAUGGAGUAGUUUUCAAUGGUGAACAUCGUUAUGUUGAUCAUAUCUACUAUAUGAUUCACGCUCGACCUUUCGGUCUCCGUGUUCCGAGGCCAUAUCUGCAUAUGCUAGGCUCGUCAAGUUUAACCUGAGUAUUCUGCGUGUGCAAAACUGGCUUGCACCCGUUGUAGAUGGACGUAGAGCUUAUCACACCCGAUCAUCACGUGGUGUCUGGGCACAACGAACUUUGGCAACGGUGCAUACUCAGGGAGAACACUUCUUGAUAAUUUAGUGAGAGAUCAUCUUAUAAUGCUACCGUCAAUCAAAGCAAGAUAAGAUGCAUAAAAAGAUAAACAUCACAUGCAAUCAAUAUAAGUGAUAUGAUAUGGUCAUCAUCAUCUUGUGCUUGUGAUCUCCAUCUCCGAAGCACCGUCAUGAUCACCAUCGUCACCGGCGCGACACCUUGAUCUCCAUCGUAGCAUCGUUGUCGUCUCGCCAAUCUUAUGCUUCCACGACUAUCACUACCGUUUAGUAAUAAAGUAAAGCAUUACAUCGCGAUUGCAUUGCAUACAAUAAAGCAACAACCAUAUGGCUCCUGCCAGUUGCCGAUAACUCGGUUACAAAACAUGAUCAUCUCAUACAAUAAAAUUCAGCAUCAUGCUUUGACCAUAUCACAUCACAACAUGCCCUGCAAAAACAAGUUAGACGUCCUCUACUUUGUUGUUGCUUGUUUUACGUGGCUGCUACGGGCUUAAGUAAGAACCAAUCUCACCUACGCAUCAAAACCACAAUGAUAGUUUGUCAAAUAGACUCCGUUUUAACCUUCGCAAGGACCGGGCGUAGCCAUACUUGGUUCAACUAAAGUUGGAGAGACAGUCGCCCGCAAGCCAUCUCUGUGCAAAGCACGUCGAGGGAACCGGUCUCGCGUAAGCGUACGCGUAAGGUUGGUCCGGGUCGUCUCGUCCAACAAUACCGCCGAACCAAAGUAUGACAUGCUGGUAGGCAGUAUGACUUGUAUCGUCCACAACUCACUUGUGUUCUACUCGUGCAUAUAACAUCAACAUAAAUAACCUAGGCUCAGAUACCACUGUUGGGUUUCGUAGUAAUUUCAAAAAUUUUCCUACGCACACACAGGAUCAUGUGAUGCAUAGCAACGAGGGGAGAGUAUUGUCUACGUACCCAACGCAGACCGACUGCGGAAGCGAUGACACGACGUAGAGGAAGUAGUCGUACGUCUUCACGAUCCAACCGAUCAAGUACCGAAACUACGGCACCUCCGAGUUCGAGCACACGUUCAGCUCGAUGACGAUCCCCGGACUCUGAUCCAGCAAAGUGUCGGGGAAGAGUUUCGUCAGCACGACGGCGUGGUGACGAUCUUGAUGAACUACAGCAGCAGGUCUUCGCCUAAACUCCGCUACAGUAUUAUCGAGGAAUAUGGUGGCAGGGGGCACCGCACACGGCUAAGGAAUAGAUCACGUGGAUCAACUUGUGUCAACUUGUGUGUUUAGAGGUGCCCCUGCCUCCGUAUAUAAAGGAGGAGAGGAGGGGAGGCUGGCCGGCCAAGGGGGGGAGGCGCAGGAGAGUCCUACUCCCUCUGGGAGUAGGAUUCCCCCUCCAAUCCUAGUCCAACUAGGAUUCCUCGGAGGGGAAAAGAGGAGGAGGGGGCCGGCCACCUCUCCUAGUCCUAAUAGGACUAGGGGAAGNNNNNNNNNNNNNNNNNNNNNNNNNNNNNNNNNNNNNNNNNNNNNNNNNNNNNNNNNNNNNNNNNNNNNNNNNNNNNNNNNNNNNNNNNNNNNNNNNNNNNNNNNNNNNNNNNNNNNNNNNNNNNNNNNNNNNNNNNNNNNNNNNNNNNNNNNNNNNNNNNNNNNNNNNNNNNNNNNNNNNNNNNNNNNNNNNNNNNNGGGGGGGGGGGCGCAGCCCAACUAGGGCAGCCCCUUCUCUUUUCCACUAAGGCCCACUAUGGCCCAAAUAGCUCCCGGGGGGUUCCGGUAACCCUCCCGGUAUUCCGGUAAAAUCCCGAUUUCACCCGGAACACUUCCGAUAUCCAAAUAUAGGCUUCCAAUAUAUCAAUCUUUAUGUCUCGACCAUUUCGAGACUCCUCGUCAUGUCCGUGAUCACAUCCGGGACUCUGAACAACCUUCGGUACAUCAAAAUACAUAAACUCAUAAUAUAACUGUCAUCGUAACCUUAAGCGUGCGGACCCUACGGGUUCGAGAACAAUGUAGACAUGACCGAGACACGUCUCUGGUCAAUAACCAAUAGCGGGACCUGGAUGCCCAUAUUGGCUCCUACAUAUUCUACGAAGAUCUUUAUCGGUCAGACCGCAUAACAACAUACGUUGUUCCCUUUGUCAUCGGUAUGUUACUUGCCCGAGAUUCGAUCGUCGGUAUCCAAUACCUAGUUCAAUCUCGUUACUGGCAAGUCUCUUUACUCGUUCCGCAAUACAUCAUCUCACAACUAACAUAUUAGUUGUAAUGCUUGCAAGGCUUAUGUGAUGUGUAUUACCGAGAGGGCCCAGAGAUACCUCUCCGACAAUCGGAGUGACAAAUCCUAAUCUCGAAAUACGCCAACCCAACAUCGACCAUUGGAGACACCUGUAGUACUCCUUUAUAAUCACCCAGUUACGUUGUGACGUUUGGUAGUACCCAAAGUGUUCCUCCGGUAAACGGGAGUUGCAUAAUCUCAUAGUCAUAGGAACAUGUAUAAGUCAUGAAGAAAGCAAUAGCAACAUACUAAACGAUCGGGUGCUAAGCUAAUGGAAUGGGUCAUGUCAAUCAGAUCAUUCUACUAAUGAUGUGACCUCGUUAAUCAAAUAACAACUCAUUGUUCAUGGUUAGGAAACUUAACCGUCUUUGAUUAACGAGCUAGUCAAGUAGAGGCAUACUAGUGACACUCUGUUUGUCUAUGUAUUCACACAUGUAUUAUGUUUCCGGUAAAUACAAUUCUAGCAUGAAUAAUAAACAUUUAUCAUGAUUAUAAGGAAAUAAAUAAUAACUUUAUUAUUGCCUCUAGGGCAUAUUUCCUUCAGUCUCCCACUUGCACUAGAGUCAAUAAUCUAGAUUACACUGUAAUGAAUCUUACACCCAUGGAGCUUUGGUGCUGAUCAUGUUUUGCUCGUGGAAGAGGCUUAGUCAACGGAUCUGCAACAUUCAGAUCCGUAUGUAUCUUGCAAAUCUCUAUGUCUCCCACCUGGACUAGAUCCCGGAUGGAGUUGAAGCGUCUCUUGAUGUGUUUGGUCCUUUUGUGAAAUCUGGAUUCCUUUGCCAAGGCAAUUGCACCAGUAUUGUCACAAAAGAUUUUCAUUGGACCCGAUGCACUAGGUAUGACACCUAGAUCGGAUAUGAACUCCUUCAUCCAGACUCCUUCAUUUGCUGCUUCCGAAGCAGCUAUGUAUUCCGCUUCACAUGUAGAUCCCGCUACAACGCUUUGUUUAGAACUGCACCAACUGACAGCUCCACCGUUUAAUGUAAACACGUAUCCGGUUUGCGAUUUAGAAUCGUCCGGAUCAGUGUCAAAGCUUGCAUCAACGUAACCUUUUACGGUGAGCUCUUUGUCACCUCCAUAUACGAGAAACAUAUCCUUAGUCCUUUUCAGGUAUUUUAGGAUGUUCUUGUUAGGUUUCGUAGUAAUUUCAAAAAUUUUCCUACGCGCACACAGGAUCAUGUGAUGCAUAGCAACGAGAGGAGAGUGUUGUCUACGUACCCAACGCAGACCGACUGCGGAAGCGAUGACACGACGUAGAGGAAGUAGUCGUACGUCUUCACGAUCCAACCGAUCAAGCACCGAAACUACGGCACCUCCGAGUUCGAGCACACGUUCAGCUCGAUGACGAUCCCCGGACUCCGAUCCAGCAAAGUGUCGGGGAAGAGUUUCGUCAGCACGACGGCGUGGUGACGAUCUUGAUGAACUACAGCAGCAGGGCUUCGCCUAAACUCCGCUACAGUAUUAUCGAGGAAUAUGGUGGCAGGGGGCACCGCACACGGCUAAGGAAUCGAUCACGUGGAUCAACUUGUGUCAACUUGUGUGUUUAGAGGUGCCCCUGCCUCCGUAUAUAAAGGAGGAGAGGAGGGGAGGCUGGCUGGCCAAGGGGGGGAGGCGCAGGAGAGUCCUACUCCCUCUGGGAGUAGGAUUCCCCCUCCAAUCCUAGUCCAACUAGGAUUCCUCGGAGGGGAAAAGAGGAGGAGGGGGCCGGCCACCUCUCCUAGUCCUAAUAGUACUAGGGGAAGGGGGGCGCGCAGCCCAACUAGGGCAGCCCCUUCUCUUUUCCACUAAGGCCCACUAUGGCCCAAAUAGCUCCCGGGGGGUUCCAGUAACCCUCCCGGUAUUCCGGUAAAAUCCCGAUUUCACCCGGAACACUUCCGAUAUCCAAAUAUAGGCUUCCAAUAUAUCAAUCUUUACGUCUCGACCAUUUCGAGACUCCUCGUCAUGUCCGUGAUCACAUCCGGGACUCCGAACAACAUUCGGUACAUCAAAAUGCAUAAACUCAUAAUAUAACUGUCAUCGUAACCUUAAGCGUGCGGACCCUACGGGUUCGAGAACAAUGUAGACAUGACCGAGACACGUCUCCGGUCAAUAACCAAUAGCGGGACCUGGAUGCCCAUAUUGGCUCCUACAUAUUCUACGAAGAUCUUUAUCGGUCAGACCGCAUAACAACAUACGUUGUUCCCUUUGUCAUCGGUAUGUUACUUGCCCGAGAUUCGAUCGUCGGUAUCCAAUACCUAGUUCAAUCUCGUUACCGGCAAGUCUCUUUACUCGUUCCGUAAUACAUCAUCUCACAACUAACAUAUUAGUUGUAAUGCUUGCAAGGCUUAUGUGAUGUGUAUUACUGAGAGGGCCCAGAGAUACCUCUCCAACAAUCGGAGUGACAAAUCCUAAUCUCGAAAUACGCCAACCCAACAUCGACCAUUGGAGACACCUGUAGUACUCCUUUAUAAUCACCCAGUUACGUUGUGACGUUUGGUAGUACCCAAAGUGUUCCUCCGGUAAACGGGAGUUGCAUAAUCUCAUAGUCAUAGGAACAUGUAUAAGUCAUGAAGAAAGCAAUAGCAACAUACUAAACGAUCGGGUGCUAAGCUAAUGGAAUGGGUCAUGUCAAUCAGAUCAUUCUGCUAAUGAUGUGACCUCGUUAAUCAAAUAACAACUCAUUGUUCAUGGUUAGGAAACAUAACCAUCUUUGAUUAACGAGCUAGUCAAGUAGAGGCAUACUAGUGACACUUUGUUUGUCUAUGUAUUCACACAUGUAUUAUGUUUCCGGUAAAUACAAUUCUAGCAUGAAUAAUAAACAUUUAUCAUGAUUAUAAGGAAAUAAAUAAUAACUUUAUUAUUGCCUCUAGGGCAUAUUUCCUUCAAUUAAUCCACUGCCUACCUACCAGCCACCAUUUCUCCUAUAUAAAGCACCCCAAUCGACAGAAACAACAGUCAAACACAUCCCUUCUCCUCCCCCCCAGCCGCCAAAGAAAACCCUAGGAGAGAUGGAUCUUGGAGAGGUCGUAGAUGAAGAAGAACAGGUGCAGAGAGGCAGACGCAGAGAGGCAAGAAGGAGGGAGAGAAGGCAGCUGGCUUAGAGGAUCCUUGCAACAUGCAACCGCAAGGACAUUGAGCAAUUCCUGGAGGCAUUCCCACCUGGCUCAAACCCUAAUGAUGAUGAUAUCAUCUACUGGGCAAGGAGGAGGGCAAUUUUUCAUAAUUUUCAGGUCACUAGGAUGAGGUGGACUAGGAUUCUCUACCCAAAAGAUUGAGCUGCUCGUAGAUCUAACUAUGUAUGAAAUGUUUCAAUGAAUGCAAUGUAAUAAAUCCUAGAUCCCCCUUCUUCUGUGCUCCAUGAUGCAGUGUAUGAAAUGUAUGCGCAAACGUAAUGAAAUCCUUUCUACCUAUGUGUGCUCCAUGAUGCAGUGUAUGCAUGUUUUAGAUUGCUGAACAAAAAAUCAGUUAACUGAACCCAAAUUCAGUUAACAAAAAAAACAGUUAGCUGAACCCAAAUUCAGUUAACCAAAUAAAAAAACUAUAACAAAAUAAUAGUUAACUGAACCCAAACUCACUUAACCAAAUUUCAGUUAACAACAUGUCAUUAUUUUGCAAAUCAGUUAACACCUAUAAUAACUACAUAGUUACCUACAUCCUAGCAAAUCACUACUACUAGUCUACUAGCAUUGAUCUUAGUGAUUGUAACAACAGGUCCUGGGUUCGAGCCCCAGGCACACAAUUUUUGAAUUUUAUUUUUUUUACCUAAUUUUAGAAGAAUUGGCAGAACUACAGGCAAUAUUCAGUUAACUACAGGCAAUAAAAUUCAGUUAACUACUACAACAUGCAUUAAAAUUCAGUUAACUACAGGCAAUAAAAUUCAGUUCACUACAACAACAUGCACUAAAAUUCAGAUAACUAGCUCAUUGAGCAGAUUCAGUUAACUAGAACAGCAGACACAGAAAAGCAGACACACAAAAGCAGACACACAAAUUCAGUGCUAGUUUGGUUAAGUUACAAAAAGGGCAAUGAAUGCCACUGUUUUGCCACCAAAACCAGACACACAAAUUCAAUGUUGUACAUAAUACUGGCAUACAAAUUCACCAAGUUCACUAAAGGAGUAGAACUAAUUAGUAGCUCCAACUUAAGGCAGCAUUACACCAAUAAUGAAUUACUCAAACUCAUCUAAGAUCUCCUCCACCCUCCUUAUCUUGCUCUUUUUCUCCUCCUUGUGCCUGAAUAAAUCACCAAUCAUGUACUCUAGUUUCUUCUUCUCCUUCUUCAGGUCAUCCCUCUGUGACACCACUUUGUCCAUCACUUCCUUCAUUUUCUCCAUCUCUUCCUUCAUUUUGUCCAUCUGUUGCUUCAUCUCAUCCCUCUCUUUCUCUGCCUUAGCCCUCACAAUCUGAUGAAUGCCAGUGGUAGAUUUAUCAGACAACUUUGAUACGUCUCCAACGUAUCUAUAAUUUUUGAUUGCUCCAUGCUAUUGUAUUACCCCUUUUGGAUGUUUAUGGGCUUUAUUUUACAUAUUUAUAUUAUUUUUGGGACUAACCUACUAACCGGAGGCCCAACCCGUAUUGCUGUUUGUAAGAGCAUAUUUAUCCCUUAGGUGUUUUGGUGAUUGAUGACAAUGCUUUUGCGGACUAAUCGUGUGCCUUGAGUUUCUUAGACGCUUCAUCACUAGGCACGAGACGAUUCGGUGCCCCUUGAAGACUAUUGAAGACGGCGUUGUUAUACGUUUCUCUUUGGUGGAUUUGAGUCAUAGGAGAGCCGUACUAUUAAGAGGGGGUCCGCGUCGGAAAGGUUCGGGUGGAAUCAGCACGUACACAUGUCCUUCCUUUCCCUUGCACUUUGGAGCAUCUCUCCGUUAUCCUAGUUGUGCUUAAUCUGACGGCUACUGCUGUACUUGCGGUAGUACUGCUCCAUGGAGCGGUAGUACCGCAAGCACCUGCGGUAGUACCGCUAGGGGUCACGGUAGUACCGCUCCUAUGGAGCCUUAGUACCGUGGCUCUCAGGCCUAGUGCCGCUCCAGUACGGUAGUAGGGGCGGAUGUAAUCUUUUACAUCCGCGCCCCCACGGUAGUAUCGCACGUCCUGUGCGGUAGUACCGCGGGAGGCCACGGUAGUACCGCUCCCUCGGAGUCGUAGUACCAUGGCCCUCGUACCUAGUACCGCUGCGUCACGGUAAAUUACAUCCGCGCCUCCACGGUAGUACCGCGCCUCGUGCGCGGUAGUACCGCGUCAGAUUUUUUGCACUAUUUCAUUUUCAGCGGAAGUAGGCACGGAUGUAAUUUAUUUCAUCCACGCCCUUCGUAGGCAUUGACUUUCCUGCCUUGUGGUAGUACCGCAAGGGGGAGCGGUAGUACCGCGCAAGCGGUAGUACUGCACCCAGUCAGGCAAGUCCCGGCCUCUACUGCUACCGCGGAAGUACCGUGGUCCUCCAUGGUAGUACCGCGUGGCCUUGCGGUAGUACCGCGCCCCUCGAGCGGUAGUACCGCAUGUCGCAGGCUGAACAUGUGGAUAACGGUUGGAUCUUUUCCAUAACUAUAAAAGGGGCGUCUCCUACCUCUAGUUGACUACCUCUUCCACCUCUAAGCUCCAUUGUUGCUCCAAGCUCCAUUUUGGCCCGAUCUCUCUCCCUAGCCAAUCAAACUUGUUGAUUUGCUCGGGAUUGGGUGACAAGGGCCCGAUCUAUACUUCCACCAAGAGAUAUUCAAUUCCCCCACUAAUCCCUAGCGGAUCUUGUUACUCUUGGGUGUUUGAGCACCCUAGACGGUUGAGGUCACCUCGAAGCCAUACUCCAUUGUAGUGAAGCUUCGUGGUGUUGUUGGGAGCCUCCAAGUGUUGUGGAGAUUGCCCCAUCCUUGUUUGUAAAGGUUCGAUCGCCGCCUUCAAGGGCACCAAUAGUGGAAUCACGGCAUCUCGCAUUGUGUGAGGGCGUGAGGAGAUUACGGUGGCCCUAGUGGCUUCUUGGGGAGCAUUGUGCCUCCACACCGCUCUAACGGGGACGUACUUCCCUGUAAAGAAGGAACUUCGGUAACACAUCCUCGUCUUCACUGGCUCCACUCUUGGUUAUUUCGUGCCUUUACUUUUGCAAGCUUACUUGUGUUGUAUCUAUUGCUUGCUUGUGUGCUAAUUGUCAAUGCAUCAUAUAGGUUGUCCACGUAGUCGCAUAUCUAGACAACCUAUUUUGUCGCAAGGUUUAAAUUGUUAAAGAAAAGCUUAAAAAUUAUUACUUGCCUAUUCACCCCCCUCUAGUCAACCAUAUCUAUCCUUUCAAUUGGUACCAGAGCUUCAUCUCUUUAUUAAGGACUUUGCCGUCCGAAGAGUAUGGUUGACACCAAUGACGGUGCGGAGGACCACUCCGGUGUGAAUCCUAUCUCGUCUACGGCCGAUGGGGGAACCUCGGUCUCACGUGAGGAAUUCAAUGUGGCUUUAGACACAUUGAAAACCUCCAUGACGGCCGAGGUUAAAAGCAUGUUUUCUGAAUUCCUAGAAGGACUUAAACUAUCUACCUCGCCGAUGAAAGUGGGUGAUCCCACUAACAAGGUGACGGAUGCCACCUCCGACAAGGGGGAAGCUAAUAGUGAAAAAGGUCCUUCUACUAGUGGUAGAAAUGGCUCCGGCAUCUUUGCCCAUGUGGAACCUCCUACUUAUGGUGGACCGAUUCCCACUACUCAUUUAAAUCAUGUCGGUCCUCCUCCUAAGAUUGUGAAAAAUGAGGAUUUUGAUGCUUGGGUUUAUCAUUUCAAGCGACAUCUAAAACAUGUGAAUACUAAUCUUUGGAGAAUUAUAGAAGAAGGUUUCUAUCCACAUGACCCAAGCAACUUCACCCCUCGAGAAGCCGUGGAUAAUCAAUUCAAUGAGAGUGCUCUCUUCAUCAUCCAAGAUGCAAUCCUUCCCGAAGAUCUCCCUCAUCUUUGUCCUCAUGCCAUGGCUAAAGACGCAUGGCAAUGUGUUGUGUCUCUCUAUCAAGGAAGUGCUAGCAUUCAACGCUCCAACUAUGAAGUGGUGCAAGAUGAAGCCGAUGAGUUUGCAAUGAAAGAAGAUGAAGAACCUCGUGAGCUCUUUCGAAGAGUGACCAAACUCGCAGUCGCACUCCGAGAUCAUGGGAGCAAGGACACGGAUGACAAUUGGAUCAAGCACAAGUUCCUCAAGGCCAUGAUGCCCUACAACAAGGCCAUGUCCUCCGUCAUUCGUCAAAGACCGGACUUCCACUCCAUGACCUCAAGUGAAGUGUUGGAUGAGUUCGUUGCAAUGAGCAUCUUGGACAAGACCGCCGACAAUGUGGUGCUAUGUUCUCAAAGGGCAAAGAAGCCCAACCUUGCCUUGAAGGCCAAGGUUAGUGUGGAAGAAGAAGAAGAGGAAGAUGAGGAGAGCAACCCCAAAGACACGAAGUAUGAUUAUCAUGAGCACAUGGCUCUUGCCUCAAGACAAUUUUGGAGUAAGAAGAAUACAAGACCCAACUUCAACAAGAACAACUCAAGUGGCCUCAAGGGCAAGCAAGGAGUUAGAACUUGUCUCAACUGUGGCAAUGUGAGCCAUUUCGUUGCGGAUUGUCCUUACGAGAAGCGGGAAGACAAUGGUGGCAAGUUCAUCCAAAAAGACAAAGCCAAGUCCUUCCCCAACAAGAACAAUUUCACCAAGAAGACUCCUACACGCGGGUUGGUAGUUCAAGAAGAAUACCGUGAGGAUGACGAUGAUGAUGAAGAUAGUGAAGCAAUGGCUAUGGCAUCCGUUGCCAUUGCCAUAACUCCCCGGGUGUCUCUCUUCGAUUCACCCAACGAGAACAUCACCGCCAAGUGCCUCAUGGCUAAAGCCACCAACAAGGUAACCCCCAACAUCAAAACCACCAUUAUUCCUAAUCCUUCUUUGACGGUUCGCUUUGAUGAUGGUAAGGGGUCUAAUGAGGAGGUAAAUGAAUUUGAGUCCUUCAUGAGUAAGCUCAAGGGCAAAUCCAAGAAGCACUUCGUUGCUCUCUUGGAACAACUUGGUGAAGCCAAUGACAUGACCGAGGCUCACGAAGAAACCAUCUCUAAGAUGGAAGGUCAUAGUCGUGACUAUGCCGAUGAGAUAUCGGAUCCCUCUAAUGCUCUUGAGGAAGAGCGUGUGCAUCGUUUGGCUCUUGAGGAGUCACACAACGAUGACCAUGCCAAAUUAAAGAAAUAUCUUGAUCAUGCUCUUGCUGUGUCUCAUGUUCUAACUUCCGAGAAGGCUAAACUUGGGGUUGAUCAUGCUAGACUCAAGGAGGAGUUUGAUGUACUUGACAAGGCCCAUAAGGUCUUGAAAGGUGCUCAUGCAAACCUCAAGGAGUCUCAUGCUCAACUCCAAGUUAAGCUAACCAAGGAAAAGGCCACAUUUCCUCACAUGGUCUUAAUUGAUAAUGCAAAUGCUACUAACCCGUGUUGUGAGCAUGUGCAUCUUGUGGAGGAGAAUGCCAAGUUGAAGGAACAACUCGAGAAAGGUCUUGUGUCUUGCAUACAAGGUAAGAAGAACCUAAAUGACCUUUUGAGCAAUCAAAAGGAAGUUGUGGGCAAGGAGGGAGUUGGGUUCUCACCCAAGUCCAAGAACAAGAAGAAGAACGAGGAGAAGAAUAACAAGACCAAACAACCUCCCCCGCUCAAGCAAACUUUUGUGAAGGAGGGAGAGGGUGCUCCUAAGGAGAAGAAGAACAAUGCAAAGAGUGGUGAUGCCAAAAAUGGCAAAUCCAUCUCUCCCAACAAAGCCGGUGAUUUUAACCCCUCUUAUGUGUUGUGCCGUGCUAGUGAUGGGCAUGUUUAUGCUAAAUUUGUUGGUUCUUCUUAUGAGUACAUUGAAUGGUCUAUUUGGGUUCUUAAGACCCUUGUUACUAACAUCAAAGGACCCAUUACUAAAUGGGUACCUAAAACCAAGCAUUGAUCUCUUGUAGGUGUUUGCUUCCGGUGGGGGAUCAUGGUUGCUCGACAGUGGAGCAACAAAUCAUAUGACGGGAGCAAGGACUUGGUGGUGGAUGUGCAAAAGAUCCCAUCUAUGCCCACCAAUGUCGAGUGGGGUGAUGCCUCACAUUCUAAGGUAUUGGGUCUUGGCAAGGUUGUCAUUUCUCAUGAUCUAACGAUCGAGAAAGUCAUGCUUGUUGAGUCCCUUGCGUUCAAUUUACUUUCCGUUCGUCAACUCGCACUCAUGGGCUUUGCCACCUUCUUUGAUAUUGAUACCGUGGCCCUCUUGUGGAGCAAGACUCUUAAAGUAGCCUUUGUUGGGCAUGUCGAGAAUGGUCUCUAUGUGAUUAAGUUUUCGGAGCAACCCACUAAGACCGCGACAUGCCUAAUGGCUAAAGUUGAUGUGGGAUGGCUUUGGCAUCGCUGUUUAGCCCAUGUCAAUAUGAGAUCUUUGCAAAGUCUUCUCAAGGGGGACCAUGUCUGUGGACUAACAAAUGUUAGUUUUGCCAAAGAUCGUGCUUGCAAUGCUUGUAUCGAAGGAAAACUUCAUGAGACGGCUCACCCUCCCAUGACUAUCAUCUACUCGAAGAGACCCUUGGAGCUCCUUCACAUGGACCUCUUUGGGCUUCCAUCCUUUGAUAGUCUUGGGGGUAGAAAGUAUUGCUUGGUGAUUGUUGAUGAUUAUUCAAGAUACACUUGGGUAUACUUCUUCAAGAGGAAGAGUGAGACUCAACAAACCAUCAUCGACUUUGCAAAUGAAGCUCAAUGUCAACAUAAUGCAAAGAUCUUGACAAUAAGAAGUGACUACGGCACCGAGUUCAAGAACUACACCUUGGAUGAGUUUCUUAGUGAUGAGGGGAUCAAGCAUCAAUAUUCUGCACCAUAUACCCCUCAACAAAAUGGUGUGGCGGAGAGGAAGAACCGGACGUUGAUGGAUGCGGCAAGGACCAUGAUGGCGGAGUUCAAGUCUCCAUACAACUUUUGGGCCGAAUCCAUCAACACCGCAUGUCAUGCAUCCAAUCGGCUCUAUCUCCGCAAAGGCUUGAACAAGACUCCUUAUGAGAUACUCACCGGAAACAAGCCCAAUCUCAAGUACUUCCAGGUGUUCGGGUGUAAGUGUUUCAUUCUGAAGAAAGGUGUUCGUUUGUCUAAAUUUGAGGCUAGAGCUUAUGAGGGCAUAUUUGUUGGUUAUGCUACAAACUCUCAUGCUUACCGUGUUCUCAACAAGUCCACCAGACUCAUUGAGGAGACGUGUAACGUAGAGUUUGACGAAAAUAAUGGCUCCCAAGUGGAGAAAAGUGGUACUUGUGGUGUAGGUGAUGAAAUUCCUCCCCAAGCCAUAAUAAGAAUGGGUAUUGGUCAUAUUCUACCCAUUGAGGAACCCCUUGUGGCCGAAGGAGAAGGACAAUGCUCCACUCAAGUGGAGCCUUCACCUACUCAAGACCCACACGCUUCCGAAGAACAAAGUGUAGGCCCUCAACCUGGGGAACAAGACCAAGGGAAAGAUCAAUCUCAAGAUGAUGGUGAACCUCCAAAUGAUGCCCAAGGUCAAGUUCUCCCCCUCGAGCAAGUUCAAGAUCACGAGCAAGCUCAAGAUCAAGAACAAGCUCAAGACGGCGCUCAAGAUGAUCAAGUUAACUCUCCUCCUUCCACAUUUGAGGAGGAAUUAGAGCGUCGUGCUGCGAAGAUUGCUUCCAAACUCACCACCAAAGGCCAUCUCAUGGAGAAUGCGGUUGGAAGCCUAAGAAAGGGGGUAAGCACUCGUAGACAAUUAGAAACUAUUGUGAACAUCACGCGUUUGUCUCUUGUGUUGAACCCCAAAAGGUCUAUGAGGCACUCGAAGACUCGGAUUGGCUCAAUGCCAUGCAUGAAGAACUCAACAACUUCGAGUACAACAAGGUGUGGAGGUUGGUGCCAAGGCCUUCGGGGAACCAUAACAUCAUUGGAACCAAGUGGAUCUUCAAGAACAAGCAAGAUGCUCAUGGGAACAUCAUUCGCAACAAGGCAAGAUUGGUAGCACAAGGCUACUCCCAAGUCGAGGGUAUCGACUACGGUGAAACCUUUGCUCCUGUUGCUCGCCUUGAAUCCAUUUGUUUGUUGAUUGCUUAUGCUUCCCAUCACAACUUUAAGUUACAACAAAUGGAUGUGAAAAGUGCUUUUCUUAAUGGUCCUAUUAAUGAGUUGGUUUAUGUCAAGCAACCCCCUGGUUUCGAGGAUCCUUACUUCUCGGAUCAUGUGUAUCAACUCGAUAAGGCACUCUAUGGCCUUAAACAAGCCCCACGUGCGUGGUAUGACCACCUUACCGAGUUGUUACAAGAUCGUGGAUUUGAAGUAGGGCAAAUCAAUCCCACUCUUUUUACUAAGAAGGUCAAAGGGGAGUUGUUUGUGUGCCAACUAUAUGUUGAUGACAUUAUCUUUGGUUCCCCUAACAAUGGUUUCAAUGAAGAAUUUGCCGCUCUCAUGACCUCUAAGUUCAAGAUGUCUUUGAUGGGAGAGUUGAAGUUCUUCCUUGGUUUUGAUAUCAAACAAAGAAGAGAAGGUACCUUCAUCAACCAAGCCAAAUACACUCAAGACAUGCUUAAGAGAUUCAAGCUAAGUGAUGUCAAGCCGGCCUCUACUCCGAUGCCCACCAAGUGCCAACUUGACAUUGAUCCCAAUGGUAAAGCGGUGGAUCAAAAGGUAUAUCGCUCUAUGAUUGGUUCCUUGCUUUACCUUUGUGCAUCUAGACCGAAUAUUAUGUUGAGUGUUGGAAUGUGUGCACGGUCCCAAGCUGCACCAAAGGAAAGCCACUAUGUGGCGGUCAAGCGAAUCUUUUGAUAUUUGGCUCAUACCCCAAACUUUGGCCUAUGGUACCCAAGAGGAGCUAACUUCAAGCUUGAAGGAUUCACGGAUUCUGAUUGGGCGGGAGACAAGGUGGAUAGGAAGUCCACUUCCGGAGGGUGCCAAUUUCUUGGUUGCUCUUUGGUAAUUUGGUCUUCCAAGAAGCAAAGUUGUGUGUCUCUCUCGUCCACCGAAGCGGAAUAUGUGGCGGCCGGUAGUUGUUGUGCACAACUCUUAUGGAUGAGGCAAACUUUAAAGGAGUACGGUGUCAUUUGUGACAAAGUGCCUCUUUGGUGUGACAAUAAAAGUGCCAUCAAGAUUUCUCUCAACACGGUGCAACACUUCAAGACGAAGCAUAUUGAGAUUCGGUAUCACUUCAUCCGGGAUCACAUUAGGCGAGGGGAGAUCGAGCUCAAGUAUGUCAACACUCAUGAUAACCUUGCAGAUAUUUUCACGAAGCCCUUGGAUGAAGCAAGAUUUCGCGAGUUAAGGCAUGAGCUAAAUUUCAUUGAUUCGAGCAAUGUGACUUGAACCCUUGCACCCCCACCACACUCAACUUGUUGUCUAGUUUAGAUGUAGGCAUGGACAUAGGGGGAGUGUUGUUCUCUCAAUGAACUCUCUCUCCCCCCACUAUGCAUAAAUCGAUCAACUCUUUCACAUUAGCCAUUUUUGAUGGUACUUGUGCUUCAAAGACGAGUUUUGGUCAUGGGCCCAAGGAUAAUUCUUCGCGGUGCCAUACCAACUAACUCAAACAUAGGUGGCUCUGGUCACCGCCCUCUCCUUUUGAGAGGUUGGGUUGCGCGGUUGCUUCUUGUUGUCUUUCUGCCUUUGGGUUGUUCGUGUUCUUGUGGUGUCUUUUGUGCUAAAAGUUUCUUUGCAAAGACCUCUUUUCGUGUGUCGAAACAUGCAUUUUCUUGAGCUCACGGUACUACCGCAGCCUGCUACGGUACUAUCGCGUGAGGGGAGCACGGUACUACCGCCCCCACGCGGCAGUAAUUUUUUACUGCCGCCUGGGAGAGCGGUACUACCGCUUCGGUGCGGUACUUCCGCCCAAGCGGUACUAACGCAAUGACAUGCGGUACUACCGCAAUGGCUCGGACGCAUGGGGAUAAGGACGGGCAGGGGGAGUUCUAACUCCCCCAUACCCAUUCGCCCGUUCCCCAUCUUCUCUCUCUCUCUCUCUCUCUCUCUCUCUCUCAAGAACGGAGCCGGCGUCCGUCACCGGAUCUCCGCCUCCGGCUGCCCUCCCGUGAUUCCGAUCGGUGGGAUCGUUCCCCACCACGUGCUCUUGCUAUGGACCAAGGUCUUUCCCCAACUCCUUCUCAUUUUUGUUGUGUUCGUUGUCUCUAGAUUUUGGGGGAGACUUGUGUGUUCUUGAGAUUCUUAGGCUUAAUCUUUGCAAGAGUAGGAUGAAGGAGCAUAGUAUUGCGUAGGAAUUAUACUUGUCCUUGUCCUGUGCUAGAUGUGAUCACCGUAGCACUGCCGUGGUUUCACGGUUCUUUUCAGAUUCAAACCGUCGUUUGGAUCUGACGUGGCGCGGUACUACCGCCCAUCUGGCGCGGUACUACCGCUUGUCCGGUACUACCACCCACUGGCGCGGUACUACUGCAUUCACUGCGGCACUAAAACUUUACUACCGCUCCAGCCACGGUACUACCGUGCCUCUCACGGUACUACCACAACCUGGAGCAGUACUAAAAUUUUAGUACCACAGGAUCUGGCAGUACCACCGUGGCUCACAUCUAUCUCAUGGCAACUUUCACGUAUACUUUCUAUGUGUUUCUUGUGCUUUACCGUGGUCCUUGCAUUGAUCCUUUUUGCGUUUUGUGCGUGUUUUGCGUGUGUGUCUCAGGUGGUGGCUCUCGCCGUUCCAACCCUAGUCGUGACAUGGGCUCCAAGCGUCUACGCAAUCCAGGUGAAGCACCAGAGGGCUCCUCUGUCCCCAAGCGCCAUGUCAAGUCAUCAGCCAGCAAGCACAAGGAACCCGCUAAGGGCAUGGACGAGAUACCCCAAUCUGAGUUUGUCCGUCUCAGGAAGCUCAACCCGUAUGUGAACCCUCGUGCCACUGUCAAAGGUUGUGAGCUGUUUUGGAACAAGCAACAGACUCUCAUUUAUCUGGAUGUCAUCAAGAACAAGCAGAAUACCUAUGUGGAUGUCAAAUGGAUAGAAAUGCAUCACAUGAGGAAGGACCAGCAUCGUGCGUACUUUGGAGAAGCUCUGGACCUGGUGGAGCAGUUUGGUAUUGAACAUGUGAUCUCUUUUCACCUUGACUAUGACCCUGAGCUCAUCUGUCAGUUCUUUUCCUCAGUAUACUUUCACCAUGAUGAGGAGCGGAGGAUGACCUGGAUGACCAAUGGCCGUAUGAUGACUGCUACUUGGAAGGAGUUCAUGGACCUGCUCCACGUUCCUGAUGAUGGGCUCAACACUCCCGUGGGUGUUCGCCCCCAUGCUAAUCCUGAGUCUGCUAACGAGGACAAGCUUCAGCCAUACUAUGUUGAGAAGGUGCUUGCCAAUGGCAAGACGGGGUUUGUGCUCAACUCUUUCCUGGAUAUCAUGUAUCGCAUCUUCCGCAACUCCUUGUUCCCUCGCAUUGGUGACAAGGACAAGGUUCAUGCCUAUAUGGUGGAUAUGAUGCUCAUUUGUGAGGAGGCUCGUUUGUCUCAGACUCAGACACUUGACGUCUCACACAUCAUGUGGUGUGAGCUUCGGUUUGCGGUGUUCAACCGCAAAGUGCCUAUCUAUGGGCCCUAUCUGUUUCUGCUGAUCUCGAGGACUUGGGAGAAGAUGUUCCCUGGGGAGGAGUUCCUUGCUCCAGACUGGAUUCGCCAUGAUCCCAUCUGUCUCCGUGUCAAGUCCAACUGGGCCAACACUACUACUCACGCUGAGGCGUCUGCUGCUCGGGCUGCUGUUGGUGAGGAGGAUUUUGGCGUAGAGGAUGUUGCUGAGGACCGUGCUGCCAGGCCUUCUCAUAGUUCCUCUGUGCCCUCGUGGGCCAAGAAGCUGAAGGACAAGAUGAAGACUCUUUUCUGCAUGCAAGCUAAGGGCCAGUACAAGACUCACGUGGCAUCCAAGGAGAGUCGUCGCCGGGACAAGAAGAUCUUGCAGCUCUAUGGUGAGGAUGUGUCUGGCGGUUUUGAGGAUCGCAUCACUCCAGAGGCCGAGUGGAUGGAGAAGCAAGGCUACAGGUGGACUGAUUCUGAGGAGGACGUCGAGGAGACCAUCCCUGCUGCCGAGGAGUCCGACGGAGAGGGUUGGGAUGAGUUCCCUGCUUGAGCCACCCAGUGUGUGUAGGUGUCCUCUCUGCCUUUUUGGCGUCUCGAUGCCAAAGGGGGAGAGAGUGUAGGGAUUUGCGAGUCUUGUGUCAUCGUUCGUGUUCAGUGUGUUUGCUGCUUUCUCUUUGAACCUCGUUUCAGUUGCGUUGGGUUGCUUUACUUCAUAUGGUGUAAGACAUAUGCACUCUAUCUAUCUUAGCAAGCUUGUGAUAUAUUGUGCUACCUUUGUGAUAUGCUCUGCUUAGAUGUUAGUUAUCAUGCCUUUGUCUCUAUAAUAUAGGGGGAGUGUUCAUCCUAGGUUCUGUGCGAUGCAGUCCAAAGCAUCUAUCUAGAUUGCACACAUCUAGGGGGAGCCCGUCUAUAUUCUAGAGAGGAGGGGUUUGCCUGUGACCUAUAUUAUCUCUCUAUGUGCAAAUCCCGUAUUGUCAUCAAUCCACCAAAAAGGGGGAGAUUGUAAGGGCAUAUUUAUCCCUUAGGUGUUUUGGUGAUUGAUGACAAUGCUUUUGCAGACUAAUCGUGUGCCUUGAGUUUCUCAGACGCUUCAUCACUAGGCACGAGACGAUUCGGUGCCCCUCGAGGACUAUUGAAGACGGCGUUGUUCUACAUUUCUCUUUGGUGGAUUUGAGUUGUAAGAGAGCUGUACUAUUAAGAGGGGGUCCGCGUCGGAAAGGUUCGGGUGGAAUCAGCACGUACACAUGUCCUUCCUUUCCCUUGCACUUUGGAGCAUCUCUCCGUUAUCCUAGUUGUGCUUAAUCUGACGGCUACUGCUGUACUUGCGGUAGUACUGCUCCAUGGAGCGGUAGUACCGCAAGCACCUGUGGUAGUACCACUGGGGGUCACGGUAGUACCGCUCCUCUGGAGCCUUAGUACCGUGGCUCCCAGGCCUAGUGCCGCUCCAGUACGGUAGUAGGGGCGGAUGUAAUUUUUUACAUCCGCGCCCCCUCGGUAGUACCGCACGUCCUGCGCGGUAGUACCGCAGGAGGCCAUGGUAGUACCGCUCCCCCGGAGUCGUAGUACCGUGGCCCUCGUACCUAGUACCGCUGCAUCACGGUAGUAGGAGCGGAUGUAAUUUUUUACAUCCGCGCCUCCACGGUAGUACCGCGCCUCGUGCGCGGUAGUACCACGUCGAAUUUUUUGCACUGUUUCAUUUUCAGCGGAAGUAGGCACGGAUCUAAUUUAUUUCAUCCGCGCCCUUCAUAGGCAUUGACUUUCCUGCCUUGCGGUAGUACCGCAAGGGGGAGCGGUAGUACCGCGCAAGCGGUAAUACUGCACCCAAUCAGGCAAGUCCCGGCCUCUGCUGCUACCGCGGAAGUACCGUGGUCCUCCACGGUAGUACCGCGUGGCCUUGCGGUAGUACCGCGCCCCUGGAGCGGUAGUACCGCAUGUCGCAGGCUGAACAUGUGGAUAACGGUUGGAUCUUUUCCGUAACUAUAAAAGGGGUGUCUCCUACCUCUAGUUGACUACCUCUUCCACCUCUAAGCUCCAUUGUUGCUCCAAGCUCCAUUUUGGCCCGAUCUCUCUCCCUAGCCAAUCAAACUUGUUGAUUUGCUCGGGAUUGGGUGACAAGGGCCUGAUCUACACUUCCACCAAGAGAUAUUUGAUUCCCCCACUAAUCCUUAGCGGAUCUUGUUACUCUUGGGUGUUUGAGCACCCUAGACGGUUGAGGUCACCUCGAAGCCAUACUCCAUUGUGGUGAAGCUUCGUGGUGUUGUUGGGAGCCUCCAAGUGUUGUGGAGAUUGCCCCAUCCUUGUUUGUAAAGGUUCGGUCGCCGCCUUCAAGGGCACCAAUUGUAGAAUCACGGCAUCGCGCAUUGUGUGAGGGCGUGAGGAGAUUACGGUGGCCCUAGUGGCUUCUUGGGAAGCAUUGUGCCUCCACACCGCUCUAACAGAAGCAUUGUGUGCUAGUUGUCAUUGCAUCAUAUAGGUUGUCCACAUAGUUGUAUAUCUAGACAACCUAUUUUGUCGCAAGGUUUAAAUUGUUAAAGAAAAGCUUAAAAAUUGUUAGUUGCCUAUUCACCCCCCUCUAGUCAACCAUAUCAAUCCUUUCACUAUUUUUUUUGCCUAUUUCAGUAUUUCGAAGAAAAGGAAUAUCAAACGGAGUCCAAACAGAAUGAAACCUUCGGGAGCAUGAUUUUUGGAACGAAUGUGAUCCAGAGGACUUGGAGUGCAAGUCAAGAAGAAAUCGAGGCGGCCAAGAGAUAGGAGGGCGCGCCCACCCCUCCUGGGCGCGCCCCUGUCUCCAGGGCCCCUCCAGCGGCCACCUACGUACUUCUUCCUCCUAUAUAUACCUACGUACCCCGAAAACAUCCAGGGAGCCAACGAAAAACAAUUUCCACCGCCGUAACCUUCUGUAUCCGCGAGAUCCCAUCUUGGAGCCUUCGCCGGCGCUCCGCCGGAGGGGGAAUCGACCACGGAGAGCUUCUACAUCAACACCAUAGCCCAUCCGAUGAGUUGUGAGUAGUUUACCACAGGCCUUCGGGUCCAUAAUUAUUAGCUAGAUGGCUUCUUCUCUCUUUUUGGAUCUCAAUACAAUGUUCUCCCCCUCUCUUGUGGAGACCUAUUCGAUGUAACUCUUUUUGUGGUGUGUUUGUCGAGAUCUGGUGAAUUGUGGGUUUAUGAUCAAGUUUAUCUAUGAGAAAUAUUUGAAUCUUCUCUGAAUUCUUUUAUGUAUGAUUGAGUUAUCUUUGCAAGUCUCUUCAAAUUAUCAAUUUGGUUUGGCCUACUAGAUUGAUCUUUCUUGCCAUGGGAGAAGUGCUUAGCUUUGGGUUCAAUCAUGCGGUGUCAUUACCCAGUGACAUAAUGGGUUGCAAGGCACGUAUUGUAUUAUUGCCAUCGAGGAUAAAAAAUGGGGUUUAUAUCAUAUUGCUUGAGUUUAUCCCUCUACAUCAUGUCAUCUUUCUUAAUGCGUUACUCUGUUCUUAUGAACUUAAUACUCUAGAUGCAUGCUGGAUAGCGGUCGAUGUGUGAGUAAUAGUAGUAGAUGCAGGCAGGAGUCGGUUUACUUGUCGCGGACGUGAUGCCUAUAUACAUGAUCAUGCCUAGAUAAUCUCAUAAUUAUUCGCUUUUCUAUCAAUUGCUUGACAGUAAUUUGUUCACCCACCAUAAUACUUAUGCUAUCUUGAAAGAAGCCACUAUAUUAUAAAAUACCAAAAAUGUAUUUAUCUUAUCAUACUAUCUCUAUCAGAUCUCACUUUCGCAAGUGACCGUGAAGGUAUUGACAACCCCUUUAUUGCGUUGGUUGCGAGUUCUUUGUUUGUCUGUGUAGGUGCGUGGGACUUUUGAGGAGCCUCCUACUAGAUUGAUACCUUGGUUCUCAAAAACUGAGGGAAAUACUUACGCUACUUUGCUGCAUCACCCUUUCCUCUUCAAGGAAAACCAACGCAAGCUCAAGACGUAGCAAGCUUCUUCUUCUCAAGCUCUUGCUUUAGGUCAGAAAGAGAAAGUGUUGCAUUGCCCAAUUCUGUAAUUGCCUGCUCCUUUUCAGCCACCAUCUUAGCAAAAUCUACUUUAAAAAACCUCAAAUCUUUUUCCAUCUUUUCCUUCUCUUUCACAACCCUAAAAUUUUCCGCAGCAUUAACUACAUUUUCCCUGAGCCUUAGCUUGUUCUCAUCAUCAUACAUGCCCCAAACCCUAGGUAAACCCAUCUUCAGAGUGGCAGGCCAUUCAGGGUUAAUCCACUCCAUAAAGUUGCAUUUAAGUAUUUCCUACCAAAUAAUAAAGAAAACAACUUUAGAUAAAUGAAAAAGCUUGGAGGAGUAUUGAUUCAGUUAAAUUCAUUUAAAUCCAGUUAAGUUCACUUAACUGAAUUUAAAUCCAGUUAAGUUAAGUUAGUUCAUUUGAUUUCAGUUAAGUUCACUUAACUGAAUUUAAAUUUAGAUAAGUUCAGUUAUUUCAUUUAAACUCAGUUAAGUUAUGUUAUUUCAUUAAAAUCCAGUUAAGUUCAGUUACUUCAUUUAAAUUCAGUUAAGUUCACAAACAAGAUGGUGUUAACUCAAAGAUUCAGUUAAGUUCACAAACUAGAUGCUCUUAACUGAAUAUGCAUUGCAAGUUGGAUUUAACUGUAGAUCUACUAACCUUUUGUGCACAAGCAAGAUACCUCCUUCCACUAUCAACUGAUUCAAAGGACACAAAAUUCUCACACACACAAUGGUGUUCACAUCUAGCUGCAAGAUCUGGAGCAAGGCCUCUCCACUCAGAGCAGAAAAUGGUGGCAGAAGUAGGAGCCUACAACAUUGUGUACAACAAAUUCUCGUCAGCAAAGAGGCAGACAUCGAAUACCUAACUACUGCAUCAUCUAUGCUGAAAUUUUGCUACUCAAGAACACCAUUUUUGCUAAAUCCCUAACUGCCAUAGGCAUAGUCAAGAACUAACCUCAUUUGUCACAGAGUAGCCGUCGGACGACGAGCUGGAUCCUUCACUCCAAGAUACCAUAGGGGACGAGCUGGACGGCGGCGGCGAGCUUGCUGGUGGCGUGGAGAAGCUGCUGCUGGAGCUGAGGGGGGCAGGGGGCAGAUGGGGAACGAGUGGAGCUGGAGCUGGACCGGACGUGAACUCGAUUCCGACAUAGUUAAUUCAGGUGUGCUAUACUGCAGGUUGAUAAAAGAAAAUGGCAGUUUUUUUUUGCAAAAGUGCGUGCGCUGACCGGUCCAGUCUUCGGAGAUGGUGUACACAUGAUUGACCGGUCCACCUGGCUGCCAAUUGGCGAGCUGUGAUUGGCCUGAGACUAAAUCAUCACAUGAGGUGCAAGUUAAGGUAUGGUCUGCAAGUUAGGGUACUAUUACGUCCAGGAAAAUCAUGCGUCGCUACAACACCUGUCUAACGGCUGUGAUCUAGUUCAACUAUCUUCUGUUGCAACAACGGAAUGAGCAACGUGACGGCCGCCAUAGUGUUAUUAUUAUAUUACUACUAGUACAUGUCCAAACAUUUGUGUAUGACAACAUUCGUGACAGGACAAAUGCCUCUCGCGCUUGUGAUUUUGCUGGCAUUUUCAUGUCCUUUUGACCUUCACCAUGCAUGCACAAAUGUUUAGAGUUGAGACAUUCUAAAUAUAGGAAGGUGGCUUUGGUCAGGAAGAGAUGCACCUCCGAUGACGGCGAGCCGCAUAUGCAUGCACGGACAAGCUCGCCACCGACAUCGCCGGAUCAUCCUCCCCCCGUUUGCCCCCUCUUCUGGUCUGCCCUAUAAAAGCAGGGCAGCAAGCAAGAAGAGGCACAGCGGCAACAAGGAACAGUUCAAGAGAAGAGAAGAUGGCUUCUUCUUCCUCGUCGGUGCUGCUGGUUGCGGCGGUGUUGGCCGCGGUGGUGUGCGGCGCGCACGGCAUCCCCAAGGUUCCCCCUGGCCCCAACAUCACGGCGUCUCCUGCGAGCUACGGCAACAAGUGGCUGGACGCCAAGACCACGUGGUACGGCAAGCCGACGGGCGCCGGGCCCAAGGACAACGGCGGCGCCUGCGGGUACAAGGAGGUGGACAAGGCCCCCUUCCACGGCAUGACCUCCUGCGGCAACAUCCCCAUCUUCAAGGACGGCCGCGGCUGCGGCUCCUGCUUCGAGCUCAAGUGCACCAAGCCCGAGGCCUGCUCCGGCGAGCCCACCAUGGUCACCAUCACCGACAAGAACGAGGAGCCCAUCGCCCCCUACCACUUCGACCUCUCCGGCCACGCCUUCGGCUCCAUGGCCAAGAAGGGCGAGGAGCAGAAGCUGCGCGACGCCGGCGAGGUGGAGAUCAAGUUCCGGCGCGUCAAGUGCAAGUACCCGCCGGGCACCAAGGUCAACUUCCACGUGGAGAAGUCCUCCAACGAAAACUACCUGGCCCUGGUGAUCAAGUUCCUCCAAGGCGACGGCGACGUGGUGGGCGUGGACAUCAAGCAGAAGGGCGAGGACAAGUGGACCGAGCUCAACGAGUCGUGGGGAGCCGUGUGGAGGAUCGACACCCCCCACAAGCUCAUCGGCCCCUUCUCCGUCCGCUACACCACCGAGGGCGGCACCAAGACCGUCGUCGAGGACGUCAUCCCCAAGGGCUGGAAGGCCGACACCUCCUACGAGGCCAAGGGCGGGUACUGAAGAUGAUGAUGAUGAUGCGAUCCACACCUUCCGGCAGCCAGCUUAAUUAAUUAACUAACUCCUUUUGGCUACAUAUGAUGCGAUGAGAGCAUGAGUAUAUAUACUUAUUCAUUCAUUUACUAUAGGGAAAGAGCGUGGACAACUAAUAAUUUUUUGUUUUGAUGUAUCUAAACUUGCUCAUGAUUGUAAACAUGUCUUAUUAAUAGAAAUUGGUACGCACGCAUUAAUUAUCUUUUCUUUUCUUUCAAAAAUCCCAUAAAAGAUUGCUCGAGCUAGCCCGUUAUAUUUCCUCUUCUCUUCUUCUCAAAAACUGAAUUGCCACACCUAAACAACAGGGCAGCACUAUAGCUCACUUGGAGACCACUUAGUUAGGUCGCUGGAUGGUCUCCAUUUUCGCCAAAGGAAAUAUAUUAAUAUUUUAAAGAUAUCGAUUACAUCCAGACUCUGCAACAAUGAAAUGUUCUACAAACAUUAAGGAUGCACACAGCCCUACAACAAAGAAGAAGAAGAAGAAAACAAAAGAUUCCGCUACGGUGAUCAAAACCAUGUAGCUGCAAAACAAACCAUUGGGAAGGCAAAACUCGGAGUCCAAAUUCUCUAAAAGUGACGCUUCCAAGAAGAAAACAGUGCAGAAAUGCUCUCGCCGCCCGAUCAUAGAUCUCAGGUUUUCACCCUGAACAAAGCCCGCGCUCUUAAUACAAUGCUUUCAACAAGGCCGUUGCCAGGCACAACCACUUAAGGUCAUACCUUGGAUUUUCACCUUGAAAGAUAAGACUAUGUACUCCUCCUGUGUUGCCGUGUCCGCUUGCCGAUGCCGCUGCCAGGCACAACCACUCAAGGGCAAGGAUAAGUGGAUCGAGCUCAAGGAGUCGUGGGGAGCCGUGUGGAGGUUCGACACCCCUGACAAGCUCAUCGGCCCCUUCACCGUCCGCUACACCACCGAGGGUGGCACCAAGACCGUCGCCGAGAACGUCAUCCCCGAGGGCUGGAAGGCCAACACCUCCUACGAGACCAAGGGCGGGUACUGAAGAUGAUGAUGAUGAUGAUGCGACACCUUUCGGCCUUAAUUAAUUAACUUCUUUUGGCUCGAAAAGAAGAAUAAGCUAGUCGCACAUAUCAUAUACUAGUACAGUAGUAGUAUAUGAUGAAUGCAAGCUCCUGCACGCAUGAAAUAUACAUACUCGUUCAUUCAUGGUGCGUAUAUAUAGGGAGAGAGCUCCAUGCAUGGACAACUCAUAAUUUAAGGAGGCGAACUUGUGAGGUGCAAUCAAGGAGGCAUCCACCCAAGAAUUGGUUUGCUCUCCCGCGCGCCCACUGAGGGAGUCUUGGAUUAGGGGGUCCUCGGACAGCCGGACUGUUGGAUUAUGAAGAUACAAGAUUGAAGACUUCGCUCCGUAUCCGGGUGGGACUCUCCUUUGCAUGGAAGGCAAGCUUGGCAAUUCGGAUAUUUAGAUUCCUUUCUCUGUAACCGACUCUGUGUAACCCUAGCCCCCUCCGGUGUUUAUAUAAACCGGAGGGCUUAGUAUGUAGGACAACAACAAUCAUAAUCAUAGGCUAGCUUCUAGUGUUUAGCCUCUAUGAUCUUGUGGUAGAUCAACUCUUGUAAUACUUAUAUCAUCAAGAUCAAUCAAGAAGGAAGUACGGUAUUAACUCCAUAGAGAGGGCCCGAACCUGGGUAAACAUUGUGUCCCCUGCCUCCUAUUACCAUUAGCCUUAGACGCAUAGUUCGGGACCCCCUACCCGAGAUCCGCCGGUUUUGACACCGACAUUGGUGUUUUUAUUGAGAGUUCCACUGUGUCACCAAAAGACUGGAUGGCUCCUUCAAAAGGGUGAGGUUUCCCCCCCGACAGAUUUUUGUAUUCGGCGACUUCGCACUGCGGGCCAACUCGCUUGGCAAUCUGGAGCAGAUCGAUAGCUACUCCCCUGGCCAUCAGGUCAGGUUUGGAAGCCUGAACUACACUACCGACAUCCGCGGAGACUUGAUCUUUGACGGAUUCGAGCCCAUGACAGGUACACCCCACAACCACGAUGAGCAUGACCUAGAUCUGCCAUAGGACAAUAUUCAGGAGAUCGCACCUGCAGCUGCGCUGGCUUUAGAUCCAGUGCAGGUCGCGCCAUCCGAGGACGGGAGGAUGGACCCCGCCGCGGAAGCCGCACACUCAACGGUGAUAGGGCCGAACACAGAUUUCACCCCCAACGAGGUCUAUGUCAUCGGACCCUCAGACUUGUCUCCGGUCACAGAGUCCAAACCACGCGUAUCCACGCCCAUCGGAUCUAACUGGGCACCGAUCUUGGAGUUCAGCUCCGCAAACAUCUUUCAGCACUCGCCCUUGGGCGACCAGCUAAACUCAUUAAAAUCUCUCUCCUUGUCAGGAGACUCUUGGCCGAACUAUUGUCUAGCUUGAGUGGGAAGCGGACCACGAAGGAAUUCGUUACCCAUCCACCACCCACUUAAUAGCCACUGUCGAUGACUUAACCGACAUGCUUGAUUUCGACUCUGAAGACAUCGAUGGUAUGGACGACGAUGCCGGAGAAGAACAGGAACCACCGCCCACAAGGCGCUGGACAACCACAUCAUCAUAUGACAUAUAUAUGGUGGACACACCCAAAAAAACAAUGGCGAGGAUCAAAAAGAUGCAACAGAGGAUAAUCCUCUCGAGAAGCAGCCGAAGGCCGACGUCAGUGGCGCCGUUCUAAACCACGCCAAGGUAGAAACAACGAUACCGGCACAAGAGAUAAUAGCACUCCGAAUGAUGCCGAAGACGAAAACAAUCCCGCCCAGCCAAGCUUCAAACAGGCUGGACGGGAUGAUGGGCAAGCUAGCCUCGACGAACAGGCCAUGAAUGAAGACUCGGAGGAUGACAAUUACAUGCCCCUCUCCGAAGACGAGGUGAGCCUCGGCGAUGAAGAAUUGACCAUGCCAGAGGAUCCCGUCGAGCAGGAGUGCUUCAAGCGCAGGCUUAUAGCCACUGCAAAGAGCCUGAAGAAAAAACAGCAGCAACUUCGAGCUGAUCAAGAUCUGCUCACUGAUAGAUGGAGUGAGGUCUUGGCGGCCGAGGAAUACGGACUCGAGCGCCCAACCAAAAGUUACCCGAGGCGCAGGUUGUUACCUCAAUUCGAGGACAAGGCACUAGAGCCCAUACUACCAGCGCAGGAUGCGGCUGACCGACCACCUCGUGGACGAGACAAAGCGGCGUAUCAGUCCGAACACCAACCCGCACCCCGUCGCCAAACAAAUAAAAACACGAAGGCCCGAGGCUACACGCAUGACCUGCGAGACGAAUUGGAAAACAAAGCAGGACAGUCAAGAUCGAUCCACGGAUCACAGGGGUGUGCCCCAAUGCGCGACGAUGACCGCCAUGUCGGAUAUACCAAAUACAAAUCCGCCCGGGCCAAACACAACAUACCAGAUUCAUCCAAGCUGCGUCGCGAUGUAGCCCGGCAUAGAGGCGCUGCACACCCCCUAUGCUUCACCGAUGAAGUAAUGGAGCAUGAAUUCCCAGAAGGGUUUAAACCCGUAAACAUCGAACCAUAUGAUGGGACAACAGACCCCGCGGUAUGGAUUGAAGAUUUCCUUCUCCACAUUCACAUGGCCCGCGGCGAUGAUCUCCAUGCCAUCAAGUACCUCCCACUAAAACUCAAGGGACCAGCUCGGCACUGGCUGAAUAGUCUGUCGGGGAACUCCAUUGGCAGUUGGGAGAACCUGGAAGACGCAUUCCUUGAGAACUUUCAGGGCACUUAUGUGCGACCACCGGACGCUGAUGACUUAAGUCACAUAACCCAACAGCCCGGAGAGUCAGCCAGGAAAUUCUGGACUCGGUUCUUAACUAAAAAGAACCAAAUCAUCGACUGUCUGGAUGCCGAAGCCCUAGCGUCCUUUAAGCAUAACAUCCGUGACGAGUGGCUCGCCCAACACCUCGGCCAAGAGAAGUCGCAAUCCAUGGCAGCCCUCACGACACUCAUGACCCGCUUCUGUGCAGGCGAGGAUAGCUGGUUGGCUCGUAGCAACAGCACAUCAAGAAAUCCUGGCACUUCAGACGUCAGAGAUAGCAACGGCAAGCCCCGUCGCAACAGACACAAGCAUCACAACAAUGGCGAUAACGCCGAAGACACGGCCGUCAAUGCAAGAUUCAGUGGCUCCAAGUCCGGUCAACGGAAAAAGCCAUUCAAAAGAAACAGUCCGGGCACGUCCAGUCUAGACCGUAUACUUGACCGUCCAUGUCAAAUUCACAGCACCCCAAGAACACCAGCCAAUCAUACCAACAGAGAAUGCUGGGUCUUCAAACAAGCCGGCAAUUCAGGUGCUGAAAGCAAGGAGAAGGGGUUGCAAAGCAAUGACGACGAUGAGAAGCCCCGGCCACCGAACACAGGAGGGCAAAAGAAGUUUCCCUCACAAAUCAACAUGGUGAAUAUGAUAAACGCCACCCAUAUUCCCAAAUGGGAGCGGAGGCGCACACUUAGGGACGUCUACGCAACGAAGCUAGUCGCCCCAAAAUAUAAUCCAUGUUCGUCCGACCCGAUCACCUUUGACCGCAAGGAUCAUCCGACCAAUAUCCGUCAGGGCGGCUCAGCUGCACUAGUUCUUGACCCAAUAAUUGACGGAUUCCACCUGACAUGAGUCCUUAUGGACGGAGGCAGCAGUCUGAACCUGCUUUAUCAGGAUACAGUGCACAAGAUGGGUAUCGAUCCUUCAAAGAUCAAACCCACUAAGACCACCUUUAAAGGUGUUAUACCAGGCAUGGAGGCCCGCUGUACAGGCUCCAUCACUCUAGAAGUAGUCUUCGGAUCCCUGGAUAAUUACCGCAAUGAAGAGUUAAUCUUUGAUAUCGUCCCUUUUCGCAGCAGCUAUCACACACUGCUCGGACGAACCACAUUUUCUCGAUUCAACGCGGUGCCACACUACGUUUAUCUUAAGCUCAAGAUGCCUGGUCCACUCGGCGUCAUAACAGUUAAUGGCAAAGCUGAACGCUCCCUCCGUACCGAAGAGCACACCGCGGCCUUAGCAGUAGAAGCGCAGAGUGGCAUUUUUCAAUUGAACCUUCAUUCGACAGUCAGGCUCCCGAACACCGUCAAAAGAGUCAGAACUAUUUCACGGAAGGAUAGCCCAACUUGUCAAGAGCUCAAUUAACCACUUCGGCGAUAGGCGGAGGCAAAGCUAGAUUAGGCCCCACAAUGCGGCUUAACCGCUCUGUGGCACACAAACAUUUUUUGCAUUUUCUUUGUAGGUUCACUUUUGUCUAGGCCAUCACUCGCAACAUGGCGACCGAACCCAUGAGGGGACGAACAUACCAAGGAGGGAAACAGCUCGAACGCAUAAGGGAAUCCUUAGAUAUUCCCCUUGAUGAUCAUCCGAUUAUUCAACGGAUCCGCACACAGCCCCCCUGGUCUCAGCAGGUUCUGAAGUCAUAUUUCUUUUUAUCGCACUACUUGUAUUCGUACGCCUCGACGUAUUAUUCAAUUACAACAUGCGACUUUAUAUGACGCUUACUUGCUGCUCUUUCUUAUUGAUACUUUUUGUCAAGCAGCAUCCGUACACUAUGGUACACCUUAAUAUGCCAGGGGCCUCGUUGUACCCAUAAUACGACAACAAAGUACGAACACCCUCACGGUCGUUUGGCACCCCAAACUUAUAGCAUUAUAUGCAUCGGCUCCAAAUCAUGUCUUGGGUCAAUAGUUGGGUUGCCCGACUCCUGUGCUUGCUACCCUACGUUCCGCUAUAUCGGCUAGGGUAGUAAAGGGAGAACUACUGCGAUUGUGUCCCGGUUCUUUCGGACGAGCACCUCAGUAGAGAAAGCCGAAAGCUGACUGUCAUGAUGCGGCGAGAGCUGGUCAGCUAUUCCAGAGGUUACAAAAUCUUUAAGGAUUUCUUUCGCAUUAUGCGAUAACUAAUGCAGCGUGCGACGGAUCGACUCUUUUCUUAUGAUCAGGUGCUUAUAGAGCCCCUAGUGCGGUCUUCCGAACACCAGGGGCUGCGCCUACCUUUCUUUUGUCAAACUCCUAUGGCUAAGUGAGGGUGAUAAAGCCUUAUAGUCUGAUUGCCUGGUUCGUUGCACUGAACACCUCCUUCAAGGACCCAAAAUUGGGGUAAAGAGUGUUCAGCUUCAUCCCGAACACACCCGUAGUUCCUACGUGGGGGCAGAAGCCAACGACUGGCCAACUCUCAGGAUUAAUAUAUAAAACGGCCGCACAGGAGGUAAAAUUUUCCAAAUAAUAGGCGUUAUAUUACAUAAACAACCUUGUUCAACAUUACAAAGGAUAACAUGAAUGUAUUCAUGGGAAUAUAAUAUCCUUGGCACAUUGCUCCGCUACAAGGCGGGAUCCCUUUAGGGACUGUCAUAAUAUAACUCGGGCUUGUGGUGCUCCUUCCCCGUAGGCGGUCCUUUGGUCAUCAGCUUUUCAGCAUCCAUCUUCACCCAGUGCACCUUGGCGCGGGCGAAGGCCAUUCGCACACCUUCCAUACAGACCGACCGCUUGAUGACUUCAAGUCGAGGGCAGGCACGUACAAGCCGCUUCACGAGCCCGAAGUAGCUGUUGGGAAUCGCCUGGCGGGCCAUAGCCGGAUAAUUAAAUCCUUCAUGGCUAGUUCGGCCGCCCUAUGCAGCUCGAUCAGCUGUUUCAGUUGAUCGGCAAAGGGCAUUGGAUGCUCUGGUGCCAGAUAUUGCGAACAGAACAGCUUCUCCGUAGAGCUCCUUUCUUCGGCUCGGUAGAAUUGUGCGGCAUCAGAUACGCUGUGCAGCAGUUCCACAAACACCCCUGGAGAAAUCUGAAUUCAGAUUAGUAACAUAACUUUCUUCCUUCAAAUAUUUGCUUUGCAUAGAAAAAGCCUUACCCGCCGCGAUCUUUAUGGCCUCCUGGAUUUCCUGAAGGGCGCCUUGGGCUUCGCCCCGGGCAUCGUGUGCGGCUUGACGAGCCUUGGUGAGUUUGGAUUCUUUCUCCGUUAAACUCCGCUCCAAGGUCUCACACUUCUUCACGGCCUCUUGGAGCUCUUGCUGAACUUCAAUAACCCUGGCCUCAUGCUUUUCACGAAGGGCCUGCUCUUUGUCCGCCUUCUUCUCGGCCUCGGCCACUGCCUUCCUAAGAGCCUCGACUUCGGCCGUCGCUCCUAGAGCACAUCAUGAUUUUUUUGUCAUACUCAAUUAUUCAUUCGUACUGAAUGCAAACAAGGUUUUUUUGCAUACCUUGGUUAUCCUUCAACUGCUUCUUCACUUGGCCAAGUUCUUCUUCGGCCUGCUCCAGACUCUGCUUCAGUCCAGAGACUUCCGCAGUAUGAGAGGUGGCAGUCACUACAGACGCCUGCUUAGAAAAACAAAAGAGGGAGAGGUACUACAAGGUAAGUCUCCUGCGAACAUAUAUUUGAUCCCCUGUCCGACUUUUUCUUCCGAACACCGAACAGUGUAUCAGGGGCUACUAUCUAUACUAUGACACUCUUUGAAACCUCACAACAUACCUCAAAGCCCGUUAUAAGGCUGAUGUAGGCUUCAGUCGGCCCGCUUUCGGCAGACUGAAUCUUCUCAAUCACCGCACCCAUAAGGGCACGAUGUUCUUCAAUGAUGGAAGCGUUCUUCAGCGCUGCUGAUAAGGUAUCCGGCACCUAUGGUUGGGCAGAGGUUGCCGGUGGAACAGGCACACCCCCUUCUGUUGAGGGAGGUGGCCCGCCUGAUUCCAGAGCCGUGUUGGUCUCUGGAACUAUGUCCGGCUGGGGACCGAAUUCAAGAUAGCCCCCGCCGUCGGUGUCCAUGGGGGCCUUUUCCCCCAUGUGUCCGGCCACCGAGGUUUGACCCUUUGGCGCCGCCUUGACAGUCUUCCCAGCCCCUCCUCGGCCUGGGUCCCUUUGGGACGAUACCUCGGUGUCGUCCACGUGUUUUGGGGAGGGGGCCAUCGGGGGAGUCCCGCUGUCCAUAGCGUCCGAACCCAGUGAAUCCUCCGAUGAGGAUUGCUCAGCGCGGGACCUGACCGGACUGCAAAAAAUGCGUGACUCAAUGCGUUAAACGCUAUACGAUAGUGAGUCUGGAUAUACAAACGUGUCCAGGUUUUAUAUACUCACGAUUUAACCAGGGGCUGGACCCUGGGAUCCCACUCUGGGCUGUUGUCGGUGGCGGUGGCAGAUUCAUCCGGAAAGGGGGGUUUUUCCCUUCUUAGGCGACUCAGCCUCCAAGUGUAUGGAUGCCGUCCUUUUCUUUCUCCCCCUCGCUGGGGGGGGGGAUCGUCUUUCCUCCUCUUCGUCAUCCUCUUUGGAGGAAGAGCGGGCCUCAAAGUCUUUGGAUACUAUGUUCGCAGUACCCUGGUGAUGAAGGCCGCCCAUGGUCUCUUUGGCCUCUUUCUCGGCUUUCUUCUUCGGCGCCUUGUAAGGCGCCGGGACCAGCAUCUUUGUCAGAAGUGGGCCGGCUUGUUCUUCUGGUAGCGGGACCGGGCAGUAGAUCCGCCCUGGCUUCUUCGUCCAACCCUAGGAGAGUUGUUGGAAAAUGCAUUAAGUGUUUCCCUUGGAUAAUGCAGAUAAAGCAUAUGACUUGCCAACAUACGAAGACUUACCGAACUCGCGGGUCGGGACAGUUGGUACCCGCGGUCCUCGGCUGAAUCCGGCCAUGAUUUGCUGGACUUAAAGAGCACCUUCCAGAUGUGUUUGUGCGAUGAGUCGAAGAACCCUAUGAUACGCCCAUUUUGCAUCAUGCUUUUAUAUCGAUAUUUAUUGCAUUAUGGGCUGUUAUUACACAUCAUGUCACAAUACUUAUGGCUAUUCUCUCUUAUUUUACAAGGUUUAUCAUGAAGAGGGAGAAUGCCGGUAGCUGGGAUUCUGGCUGGAAAAGGAGCAAAUAUUGGAAACCUAUUCUGCACAGCUCCAAAAAUCCUGAAACUCCAUGGAAGUCAUUUUUGAAAUUAAUAAGAAUUACUGAGCGAAGAAAAUACCAGAGGGGGCCCACACCCUGGCCAGGAGGGUGGGGGGCGCGCCUCCUAUCUUCCGGGCCCCCUGUUGGCCCUCCGGUGCCCAUCUUCUGCUAUAUGAAGGCUUUUACCCUGAAAAAAAUCAUAAGCAAGCUCACGGGACGAAACUCCGCCGCCAUGAGGCGAAACCUUGGCGGAACCAAUCUAGGGCUCCGGCGGAGCUGUUCUGCCGGGCAAACCUCCCUCCGGGAGGGGGAAAUCAUCACCAUCAUCAUCACCAAUGAUCCUCUCAUCGGGAGGGGGUCAAUCUCCAUCAACAUCUUCACCAGCACCAUCUCCUCUCAAAACCCUAGUUCAUAUCUUGUAUCCAAUCUUGUAUCAAAACCACAAAUUGGUACCUGUGGGUUGCUAGUAGUGUUGAUUACUCCUUGUAGUUGAUGCUAAUUGGUUUGCUUGGUGGAAGAUCAUAUGUUCAGAUCCUUACACUACUAGGGAAAAGCCUAUACACAGAAUCUUAGCAGCAGCGCGGCUAAAAAAGGAGCGCUGCUGCUAAUUAGGAGUAGCGCGGGUGUGUAAAACCCACUACUGACAAGCGUUUAGCAGUAGCGCGCUUGGUGUUACCUGCGCUGCUACAAAUAUCGACCGACAGUGCCCCCCAAACUCCAUUUAGUAGCAGCGCGGUUUCGCGAGCCGCGCUACUGCUAUGGAUGUAGUAGUAGCGCACUUUUUCUGAGGUCGCUGCUGCUAAUUUUCAAAUGGGACACACUUUUUGUCCCGGUUAGCAGUAGCGCUUCUGCCGAAAGCGCGCUGCUGCUACUUUCUUAUCAGCAGCGUGUUUUACGUCCCGCGCUACUGCUAAUCCGCACCAACCCACCACCUUUUCCCCACCCGUCCCCUCCCCUCCCCCUCCUCUCUUCCCUUUCCCCUACCUCCCACAUCCUACCACUCUCACUCUCAUUCUUCCUCAACACUUCUCCCCCAUUACUCUCCCUCUUCUACCUACCUUUCUCUCUCUUCAUUACUCCUACCUAACUACACCAUCUCCAUUAAUGCAUCUCCUUUCUCUUUUUCCUUCCCCCUCCACUAGUUGAAGUUGUCUCCUCCCAAAUUAGGUAGCUAGGUUGAUAUAGCAUUUAGUUAAGUGACCUAUUUGCCCCCUAACUAGAUCUAUCUUUGUCAAGAAGAGCUUUGGGCACUUUUGAUCUCCCUACAUCAUCAUCUCAUCACCGUGUGCUCGAUCUCGAGAUAGAGGUGAUGAAAAUUUCAUGCUUUUGCAAAAUGGAAAUAUGUUUAUGUGUGUGUGAUAUGUUUGUGGAAAUUGUGUGUGUGGCAUGAGUUGAUGCCAAAUUGUGCUUUUGAGUUGCCUAUGUUUUGCCGAAAUGUCGAUUUAUUUCCAUUUCGGCAAAUUCCGGGCAAAAUCUAGAUCCAUAUAUGUCCUAUUUUUAGGGAAGGUCAUGCCGAAUUUUUGUAUGACUUUGAUGCAUGCACGCAUUUUUAUAAUCAAUUUGUUUUAUUAUUACCGUGCAGGCGUUCAUGAUGGUCAGUGGAACGAUGGUGGACAUGUGGUUGCGGUCGGCGGUGCAGGACAUGAAAGAAAAUAACCUGACAGAGGUUUUAUGUCCGUGUCGAAAAUGCAAAGGAAUAGUUUGGCUCGACCCCUAUGACGAUGGUCAUGUCGAAGCGCACCUGCUCAUGACUGGUUUUAUGGAUGGCUAUACUCAGUGGAUAACUGAAGACGAGGAUGACGAUGUUGAGGAUGCCGACGGGGUAGGCAAUGAUGACACGGGGCAAGACGAAGAGAUGAUCGAUAAUGGCGGUGGGGAAGAGGCCGGACAUGGCGGCGGAGAAGGGGCCGGACAUGGUGGAGGAGAAGGGGCCGGACAUGGCGGCGGAGAGAACGACAUGGACUCCACGCAACAGAGUUUGUCGGUACUAAGUUCAAUCAUGCGGGACCCUCAUGUUCAAGCAUUGCUUCGCAAGGAGACGAGUACUGAGAGAGCUGCUUCUAGAGAGGAGGCUAAGGUGGAGCAACUGGUGGUAGACUCGAACACUCCAUUGUAUGAUGGUUGCAAUCCUGAGGUGACCCGCUUGAGUUUCACGCUCCAACUCCUGAAGACGAAGGCUAAAAACAAAUGGACCGACACUAGCCUCGAUGAGCAUCUCAAGUACCUAAAGGAUGUUCUUCCCGUGGGUAAUCUAUGUCCUACUAGUGUUGAUGAGGCCAAGAAGAUCGUGUGCCCUCUUGAUUUGCCACACGUUAGAUACCAUGCAUGCAUCAACGAUUGCAUAAUUUAUCGGAAGGAGGACGCGGAAAAAACAAGUUGUCCGGUGUGCAAUGCUUCUCGAUACAAGAAGGCCGGGAAGAAAUGUCCCCAGAAAGUUGUAUGGUACUUACCGAUCACUCCCCGUCUCUAGAGGUAUUUUGUAGAUCCCAAGGAAGCAAAGCUAAUGCGCUGGCACGCGGAGAGGAAGAAGCCCGACGAUGGAGAUGAUCCGAAGCUGAGACACGUGAAGGAUGGAAGCCAGUGGAGAGCGUUGAACAACUUCUAUCAGUAUUUUGAAUGUGAUGCAAGAAACAUCGUGCUCGGCGUGUGUACCGAUGGCAUGAAUCCGUUUGGCAACCAGAACACCAACCAUAGCACAUGGCCCAUGUUUGUAUGGAUGUACAACCUCCCCCCUGGUUGUGCAUGAAAUCGAAGUACAUUCACAUGAGCAUGCGUAUUCAAGGGCCGAAACAACCAGGAAAUAAUAUUAAUUUGUAUUUGGGGCUACUUCAAGAGGAGUUAGACACGUUAUGGAAAACACCGGCCAAGACAUGGGACGCCAGCAAAGGCGAGUAUUUCAACAUGAGAGCCGCGCUGAUCACGACAGUGCAGGACUAUCUCGGUUACGGAUAUGUGGCAGGCCAGGUGUGCCAUGGAUAUUGCGGAUGCACGCGGUGCAUGGAUGAUACAACGUCUCAGCAGCUAACGUCAAGGAAAGAUGGCGGGUCUGAGAAAAUCGUGUACAUGGGGCAUCGAAGAUGGCUUGAACAGGACGACCCGUGGAGAAACCAUGGAGAUCUAUUCAAUGGUCACACUGAGCAUCGAGGACCUCCACGUAAGCAGAGCGGUGCCGAAAUCGAUGAGCUGUUGAAAAACUGGAAGGAGUGCCCCGCGCCGGGAAAGACGAUGAGAAAGGCGCCGGAGCUGCUGCUGAAGGUAUGGAAGACGAGGUCUGUGUUCUGGGACUUGGAGUACUGGCACAAACUCGAUACACCUCAUUGCCUUAAUCAAAUGCAUAUCUGUAUGAAUGUCCUUGAGAGCUUGCUCGCAACACUGAUGAACAUGCCGAAUAAGACCAAGGAUGGGCCAAAGGCAAGAAAAGACUUGCAAGAUUUGAAAAUCAGGGAAGAUCUGCACAUGCCGCCCCGUAAAAUGUCAGACGAGACAGAGACGGAGAUAGAGGCACGGGAGAAGAAGGGCAAGAAAAUAAAGAAAGAGGAUUAUUGCCCCCUUCUUGCUUCACCUUAAGUCAGGCUGAGAUCAAUGCCUUCUUUAAGUGCCUUACCGGAGUCAAAGUUAAUUUCGGUUACUGUGGCAAGAUAAGCAGAUAUCUAGACACGGACAAGAAAAGGUUCAGUGGGAUGAAGUCUCAUGACUGUCAUGUGAUGAUGACGCAGAUACUACCUAUUGCCCUUAGAGGGAUAAUGGACAAGCACGUCCAUGACACGCUUAUUGGUCUCUGCAACUUUUUCGACGUCAUCUCUCGAAAGUCGAUCAGUGUGAAGCAGCUCCGAAGGCUACAGGAAGAGAUGGUUGUGAUACUGAAUGAGCUUGAGAUGUACUUCCCGCCUGCGUUCUUUGACGUGAUGAUGCAUCUAUGUGUCCACAUUGUGGAUGACAUAAUAGACCUGGGGCCGUCAUUCCUGCACAACAUGAUGCCGUUUGAGAGGAUGAAUGGGAUCAUCAAAGGAUUCAUUCGUAACAUGUCCCGUCUGGAUGGAAGCAUCGUCCAGGGCUAUUUGACACAAGAGUGCAUCUCUUUCUGUGAGAAUUUUCUAUAUGGCGUAGACCAGCAGCCUGGUGUUAGUGUUGGUUUGCCCGUUAACAAGCACGAUGGGAGGCUCGAAGGAGAUGGUCACUGCAACAGUCGUAGGGAACUGCACGUGGCAUACUCAGAUCAACGCAGCGACUUUGACAGAGCAAACUUGGUAGUGCUACAAUGCCUAGACGAGGUAGAUCCUUUCGUGGCACUGCACAAAGAAAUUAUCGCAAAGAAGUAUCGUGACCGGGGGGUAUGCAGGACGGACGCCGAAGUUACUAGAGAGCACAACUCCACUUUCCUGCAUUGGUUCAAAGAGCAUAUUAUUGCUAAUCCCCCGAAGGAGGGCUCUAAGGACGAAUUGCUCAUAUACGCAUUAGCACAUGGCCCCUCACCCAACCUCGUAACCUAUCAGGCAUAUGAUAUCAACGGAUACACGUUCUACACGAAGGCCAAAGAUAUGGACAAUGAUGAUCAGAACUCAGGGGUGAUGAUGGAAUGCAUGACCGGCAGCGACAACGGUGCAACUGAAUGAUUUUAUGGAAGGGUCGAGGAGAUCUGGGAGCUUGACUACUCUGGACUGCACAACACGAUGAUGUUCCAUAUUAGAUGGGCUAAGAAUGUUGAAAGAGAAAGCCGGAUUUUCACUACCAUGACUAUACCCGACGCCAAGAGCGCUACCGUGAACGCUAUCGCAAAAAACGAGCCACGGGUACACGCUAAACACGUGACACAAUGCUUCUUCAUAACCGACCCACGCAAUCCCAGCCGUGUUGUCGUGAGGAGAGGCAAAAGGAACAUCAUUGGAAUGGAUGGAGUCGCCAACGAGGAAGACUAUGAUCAGUAUGGAAACCCAAUGAGGGAAGAUGACGAUGAUGAUGAAGUAUAUGUCAAAAGAAGAAUCAAUACUACAUUACCUAAGAAAAAUCGCACUCCAUGGGAAAGGCAAAGUCACAAUGAGGGGCUCAAUUAUUCUUCGACGAACAAGAAGGGAAAGAAGCUGACUCAAAAACGAAAACGUCAGCGCUGAGGAACCGUAUGUUAUCGGUCAAAUGAUGUAAUAUAUAUAUAUAUAUAUAUAUAUAUAUAUAUAUAUAUAUAUAUAUAUAUAUGUUCCUAUUUUGUAUACACACUUAGCCAUUAUUAUGUGUGGGUCCAAUGAUGUAAUAUAUAUGUUCCUAUUUUGCAUAUAUAUUUAACCGUCAAAUGAUGCUCUAGGGAAAUAAAAGUGGGAGAAAAUAAAGGAAAAGAAAAAGGAAAACUGGCAGUAGUAGUAGCGCNNNNNNNNNNNNNNNNNNNNNNNNNNNNNNNNNNNNNNNNNNNNNNNNNNNNNNNNNNNNNNNNNNNNNNNNNNNNNNNNNNNNNNNNNNNNNNNNNNNNNNNNNNNNNNNNNNNNNNNNNNNNNNNNNNNNNNNNNNNNNNNNNNNNNNNNNNNNNNNNNNNNNNNNNNNNNNNNNNNNNNNNNNNNNNNNNNNNNNNNNNNNNNNNNNNNNNNNNNNNNNNNNNNNNNNNNNNNNNNNNNNNNNNNNNNNNNNNNNNNNNNNNNNNNNNNNNNNNNNNNNNNNNNNNNNNNNNNNNNNNNNNNNNNNNNNNNNNNNNNNNNNNNNNNNNNNNNNNNNNNNNCAGGCGCUCGCCCCCGACCCGUCAGCCCUUGCCUCCCUCCUCUGCUUCCUCCCCUGCCAACCUCGGCCGUCGUCGGGCCUGCCUCCUCGCCCCUGCACCCUCUGUAAACCCCCCUCUCUCUUUGCUAGGGUUCCUCGGUUAAUUUACUUAGGUUUUAGUUAGGGCAGUAUGUUAAUUAGGUUAUCUAUUUAGUUAUGAAUUUAGCUAGGUUUCAAAAUUAGCUGAAUUUAUAUGCAAAUUUGAACUGGACAUGUGAUAUGUGGAUAUGUCAUGUUUUGGACAUGUCAUGUUUGGAAAAUGAUCCGAGUGGCCUAUGUUACACUGGAAUGUUGAUUCAUUUCCGUUCUGGUGAAUUUCAGGCGCUCGUAAUGUCCAUUUUUGAGCAAAGGUCAUGCCAAAAUUUCCCGUGAAUAAAGGCAUGAUUUGUGCUACAUAGUUGGCAUAUCGAGUGCUGGCACAUAUAUAUUUCUUUUUAUGUCAUUUCUCAUUUAUUCAUACUUUUAGAAAUAAAUGAGGACACUUAAUCAUAGGAAACAUGUUGAACAACGAAGAAACUGGGCCUUCUGACCAAGAUGCAGACGAGAUGGAUUAUGAGGGUGAACAAGAGUACCUCGACUAUUUGACUGCUAAGCAAGGUUUGCAGGUCGGCCUCGAUGAUGGUACUGACGCUGACAUCAACACCGACGGCGCUGGCACCGAUGGCGGCACCGAGACCGAUGGGGAAAGUACCAGCCCCGAUGCCACUACCAAAAAGAGGAAGCAUAAGAAGCAGAGGAUACGAAAACCUAACAAACUAGGGAUUGGACGACUUGUGAUCACAAAGAUGGCACCUAGCAAGUUUGAGCCAUUAGAGCCGGAAGAACCUCGCAAGUGCUAUGGGAACCAAGUAGGAUGCAUCCUACGAGAAUGCGCGAGCAUCAACGACGAUGACUUAAGGAGUAAAGAACAUUUGACGCAGUUGCUCCUAACGAAGUUGCACAAGAGAUUCAAGUUCCCCGACCGGGAUGAUAACAUAGUACAACCGUGGGAUGAUCCGAAGAUGAAAAAGAUUAACAAUCACGCCAUGAGCAUGUCCAGCAAUGAUUUGGCCUCCUGGAAAGGGAGGGUGAAACGAGCUAUUGAGGCUGAUGAACCCUUGUCCAAGAUUCUGGAGGAAAAUCCGACACUUACGGAAGAGGAGUUCGAAAAGUUCAAGGACACUUGCGCUACCGAGGCAGCCAAGGCUAAGGCUGCGAAAUUGAAGAGCCUUCAGCAAAGGAACACGGGGAAGCAUCACCUUGGAAGCCGUGGCUACCUCGGUAAAAGGCCCAUAUGGGAUAAGGAGGAUGCAGAACAUGAAGCUGCGGGUCUCCCAGACCCCUUCGCGAAGUUCACCAACCCCUUGGAGCGUGACUUCAUCAGGGCCCGCUACAAGUGGGACAAGGAGAAAAAGGUUUUUUACACGGACAAGAUCACGAGGAAAUUGAUUAGACUACAGGAGAAGCAACACCAGCUUGCAGCCGAAAGCCCAAUGAAAUCCGGCAUGUUUAUAUGAAAUUCAACCGUGUAUGAAUGAAUUUAUUUCGAUUAGUUCGAACUCCUAUAUCACUGGCAUUGGAUGAACAUGCAAAACAACACGUACUAGCAUUAUUCCCAGGGUGAUCACCUCGUUUGCAGCAGUUUCACAUGUAUAUCUACUUUGACCAAUCUUAUACAAAAAAGUAUGCACUCUCACAAUGUGCGCAGUAAAAAGGAACAGAAGGAGUACAAAGAGUUUGAGAAGCUUUUUAGCGUUUCUGUACAUUGCAAUCAAACACACAGGCCUAGCAAUUCAUAGAGAACAAUCAAAACAAUCGAUGAUUAUGCAUCUCAGCGACUCACAUGUCAGAGGCAAUAUUUACUUCAUAACUAAAGAAUAAAGAAAAAGUUGAUUGACGCUGUUGACAGUAAAAGGCGUCCCAUUCGAAAAUAUCAAACACAUGUCUUGCUAAAAUCAAUGAGCAAAAUUUGACAUGGUUUUCCCAUUCCAAAAUAUCAAAUGCCUACGAUUGUGGAAUGGGCAAGGUUUGCCAUCAGUUCGGACAUUGACAUGGCACCUCGUGCUAAAUAAACUAGCUGUUCUUUUUGUGCAGUUCCACCAAAAUCAACCAAAUUCGCGCGUAGCUUGUAUGAUUUCGCCCUUAUAUGUUGCAAUGCCUUGAACUUAUUGGCACCUCCUUUCUUGUGGUGGAAAUGAAUGAUUCGAUAUAUUCAUGAACAUUUUGUGCAGUUCCCAUUGAAAUCAAGCUGAGCACCCUUGUUUGCACAAAUACAAAAAAGUGAUUAGUAUAAAGCAAACUGUACUACGAAUUGACAGUUUCAACAGGCACAUACAUGGUCCAUGUAGAGCACACUUUUAGAAAAAUGGAACUCACCAGAAAGAAUCCUAGAACAUUGUACUCGCGCAUCACAACAAAAAAAUGGAGAUUUGUUAGUCCUUCUGAGCUGAAGUUAGUUUGGUCUUGUGGGGAGUAAUGUAACCAUCCUUCAACUGCUCCUUCUGAUGAGAAGAUAGACAGGGCUUCUUCAUCCUAGCAUAAUCGCAACUAGUCACUUCACGUACUCCAUAUUCUUCUUCAGAGGAAGAUGAUCCUGUUGUGCAAAGACAAGAGGACUACUAAAUGCUAGCAUCCCUGUUUGCUCGAAAAAAAGGAAAGGAAAUAUUUAAAACAACACAGAUGAAGCAUUUCUCAAGGACAAUACCACUUUUUCAUGACAGUAUCUAAAUAGUAGCACAACACCAAUAGAGAUGACAAAGCUCAAUCAUAUGGAUGAAAACAGUGGGCGAGUACCAACCUUUGUCAGGAGGCUUAUUGUGUAGAGCAUACAGAUGAAGCACUUCUCUGGAACCAUCUGUUGCUAUCUACGGUGGUGGCCAUGCUUACUAUAUACUCCUCGAUUAGUUUAAUGUUUCCAACAUCUUCUUGUGCAGUUCCACUAAAAUCUAUGGUAUCUUCAAAGAAGAUCCCUGUUUGCACAAGUAGAGAUAAUUACGUAUUACAUUAAGAGUGGCAUCAAAUCAGUGGCAAAACAAUUGCUCGUUCCAGCCAUAGCAAUAAAUUAAGAUGCAAAACUAUAUCAUUACUUGUGUCAUCACAGUUCUAGUUCUUCAUUACAGCACCGGGAGUUGAUUUUUGUUUUUAUUCCGCUUGUUCUUCCCCUUCAUCACUUGGUUCAAUAACAGACAAGCUUCGCCUUCAAUGUAAGAUUUGGCAUGUCAAUUAGGGAGCACAAGUAUAGUACUAAACUUAAUUUUCUGAUGGAAGUGGCAAAAUACAGACCAACAGUUGUGAAAUAUCCUUAUCUUACCUCAAUGGGAUAUUACGGUGCACAUACAGAUUGGAAGUCUUGUCUCCAUUUGUGCAGUUCACUAAAAUCAAGCAACAUUAUCGUACAAGUAGCACAAUAUAUGAAAGCACGCUGCAGAAUCAUGUGAAAGAAGGCUAGUACUGACCUCUCAUGAUGCGGAAUUCAAACAACUCACAAGAAGAAGAUCUGAACCAAAUUCGCCUUAACGGAUAGGAAGUAAGAUCUCCUCUUGUGUAGUUCCACUAAGAUCAAGCAAUCAAGCAACAUUGUCGGUGUGACAUUUUGGUUGAACUGCACAAAACACUCUUAAAACAAAAGUGUUUUGUGCAGUGCAACAAAAGGUCACAAUGGCAACGAGGUGAAGUAGAUAACCCUGUUUACACAGAGGUGCAAAGGAAACAAUUAGUGGUCAAUAACGGUGGAUGACACAGAAGCCAACAAAAAGAAGCAUCUACCUUAUCUAAAUGGGAAAGAAAGCAAGACAGUAGCAUUUCUCAAACAGUGGCAUUGAUUAAUAUUAACAUAGAGAUUAUAUUAACAAUAAAAUUUGUUAAACAUGUAAUUUGCUUUUAACUAUGGCAUUGCAUCAAUUUUCCAGCGGCAUUAUUAGAGGGUGUUUGUUUACAGGGACAUUUUGGUGUAGGGACUAAAAAAACCCGUGUCAGUCCAAUCUAAACCAAACAGGAGGGACUUUUAGGGACUAAAAGUGGGCAUUUGGGACUAAAGAAAGAAGACCCCGAGGGAGUCCUUUUGGGACUUUUUCCAAUAGUUGACCCUGCCACGCAUCGCACCUUGUCUCUAUUAGUUCAUUACUAGGGGCAACAUGGUCUUUUAGCAUGUCAUUUAAUAACCUCUAGUCCAUGUUUAGUCCCUAGAACCAAGCAGGUAGGGACUAGGGUUUUUUAACCAAACAGGGCCUUGGAUUAACAACAGCUAAUGAGUUGCACGGGACAGUGGACGCCCCAGCACCAUGUGCAUCUACCGAUGUACUGUGGUCAUGCAUAGUCUGUUGCAACAAAGAACAAACAACCAAGGAGCAUAUUUAUGUUGGUUCCAGUUUUGUUAUCUUUAGACACCUUUUCCUAUGUGAGCGCAACAAAUCUAGUCCUGCUCAAACUCUACAACCUUGUCCCUUCCUUUCCUUUUUGAACUAGUACUUUUGCCCCUUCCUUUCCUCUUUGAACCAUGUCCUAGAUUUAUGCGAUACAAUUUUCCCCACUACUUUCCCCCAUUCCUUUCCUCUUUGAACCACGUCCUAGAUUCAUGCUAUACAACUUUCCCCCUUCAUUUCCUCUUUGAACCACAUCCUUGAUUCAUGCUAUAUACUACUUUUCCCACACGUCCUAGAUUCAUGGCAUACAUGUAGCUAGAGCAAUGCAUGUGGAGUAAGUAAAUUAUACCUUAAGGUUCUUGGGGCGUGGUUCGGUGGGCGACGGGACAGCGGCGAAGAAGAAGGGGUCGGAGGCCCUCCCGCGCCGCCGAUGGGUGGAAAGUGAACAGCAGCGUUAAGCCUCCUUCCCUUCCCGGCGGACGGAUCCUGCCGGCUCUUUGAGUAGCAGUGAGGGAAGAGAGAGGCCAACGAAGUCUUGUUUAGAUCUAGAGAGGGCGAGAGAGUGUGAAGAGAGCAACUACAAGCGCUGAGGCUCCAGCAGGAGAGGGCGAGAGAGUGUGAAGAGAGCAACUACAAGCGCUGAGGCUCCAGCGUGUAUAUAUAUACUGGAGAGAGAGUGUGAAGCGUGCAAACCCUAGAAAACAUUUUGACCAGUCAAAGAAUCCUCCUGGCACAAAUUAUGCUCAAGUGUAGUUAUCGAACCCGAGACCUCAAGUUUGAUGAGCGAACAGGCUAACCAGCUACACAACCCUCCCGUUAUGUUCAACAAGAUGAAAAUAACCUUUUAUACAUUCCUGCAUUCGUGUGACAAGCAUGCCGUGUUUUUUUUGUGUGUGGGAGUCAUUGGGAUUUAAAUCAUAAUCGUGUCAUGUGGCUUUGGUGGUAAGACUAUCCACAGUGGUGCAGAAAUAAUGCAACCUUAGUCACCUUACCUCUCUCCACGUACUACGUUGGGUCCCACCAGUCAGAGGGUGAAACAAACAAAUUAAUAAGAAAAACUAAAGCGCCAGCGGUGUAUCUUACCUCACACAUCUCGCUACUGCUCGGGAACAUUGUCCAAUUGAUCCCUCUGUUCGCUCACGUACUAUUUUAAGUGAAUCCUUAUUAUAACAUGCACACAAAUUUUGGGCACUUGUAUUCGACUUAAGUCAGUGUGCCACCGUAUCUAGUAUACUUACUACUCCCUCCGUCUAGGUGUAAUAAGUCACGUUAGAAGGUGCAACGGGACCAAGGUGCGUGUGUGUGUGUGCGUGCGUGAGUGUGUGUGUGUGUGUGUGUGUGUGUGUGUGUGUGUGUUUAAUAACAUGUGUGCGUUAGAGAGAGUGACAGAUCGACCUACUCCUACAGAGAGAUGGUGUGUAUUAUACGAUUUUAGCCGCGAGAGUCGGUGCAUCCUCUCAUUUCUGGGCGUGUCCGGUAGGGACAUGCGGACAUCUGCCACGCCCGCUCCUGACCAGCCUGGCCCACCCAAAGCCCCUCCAUCGCCUGCGCGCGCUUCCUGCCUGAAACGGUCAGCGCCGCUCCAAAGAAUCGGUGCCGCAUUCAUGCCCAGGAAGAGCAGACGCGACCUCUCACUGGCGCAAGAGUGAUGGUUGCUUCAUCCGUCCAACUUACUGCUGGGUCUAUGUGAUUUGACGACUCAUUAGUCUUUAUUACUGAGGUGGUAGGACUGCUGGAUGUCCCACGCUUUCGGCGAAAGGAGGUACUACCAAUACUAGAUUACAAUUUUCUCCAUUCUUACAGCGGAGGCGUGCAAGAGCAGUGAAAACACGCAGGCUCAGUGAUUACAUGGCCCACCUCACACUAUCACCGUGCGACACUUAACUCUUUACAUAGUACUCCCUCUGUUCCUAAAUAUUACUAGAUGAGUCCCCGCGCGUUGCCGCGGAACAGUGGUAUAUCUCUCUGUGCAAAAUUAUCGAUUUUUAGAACUAAAAAAAACUCUAUAACCGCAUGACAAAUGUGGUAGCCAAACUAAAUAAACUCCCAUCAUUUAGAUCAUCCCACGUAAGGAAAAAAGAUCAGCCAACUCCUACUGCAUAAUGGGAUUAUAUUUUUCUUUUUGACAUAUUAAUGGGACUUAAAAGCUCACUUACAUGCAUGCUACCGGUGCAUGCUUGCAUGCAGACAUGUUGAUGUGAUUUAAAACCCACUCACAUGCAUGUGCCACGGUAUUUCUACAUGCUUGCAUGUGCCUUAGUGUGGAGCCUCUCAACGUCUAGAUCAGACGGCUAUUAUGGACUGAUUUACUUCAUCUAACGGCUACAUCAAUUUUGAUGAUGUGGCUCAAGGAGAGUAUAGAGAAUUCCUAGUAGUGGGGGCUAGCUAUUACUAGUAGAUAAGUCUUUAUAGAGAUUCCACUAGGUGAACUACAUACGGAACAAAAUGAAUGAAUCUACACUUAAAAUGCAUCUAUAUACAUCCGCAUGUGGUUCAUGGUAAAAUCUCUACAAAGACUUAUAUUUAGGAACGGAGGAAGUACUAGUAUAGUACGUACUGUAAUUUAUCAGCGAGAUAAAUUUGUACAAUGCUAUGAAGCUUCCAGCUUCUGUUACAUGUAUCUUGCGUCCAAGGUUGCCCGUUGAAACAUUUCAUCAAAUACAAAGGAGACUAACAUGCAUGCUAUUGCAUCUCAAUGAUUGAUAGAUCAUAGCAAAUAUGUACUCCCUCCAUUCCAAAAUAAGUGUCUCAACUUUGUGCAAACUUUAGUACAAAGUUGUACUACUACUAAAGUUGACACUUAUUUUGGAACAGAGGAAGCUAAAGAAAAAAACGAUCCAUGGAGUCCCUAGCCCUUGAACCGUGAACCCUGACCAGGCUUCAAUUUGCUGGCAACAUUCGAGAUUCCUAAUAAAUGAAGUUUGCAACCUUUUGACCAUUGGAUCAUUUUGUGCAGUUUCACCAAAGUCGAGAUGAGCAUCCCUGUGGCAAAGAAAUUGAAGAAGCGUGAUUAGAAUAAGAUUACUGGGACUAGUUGAUGAGACAUAAACUCAUCACAAAUACAGUAUGUAGAAGCCAGUAGAGGUAUGUGCGGGGCAAAGAAGUAGAGAAAUAUCCACAUGGAGUGAUGUGGGCAGCUGGAGCAGUGGUGCAAGCCGACUGUAAAGGGAGUUGUACCUGAGGGACGUAGCUCAACCUUGAGGAGGGCGGCGGGAGGCGGCAACUGCGCACAUCGCGGCAGUGAGCAAGGGACGGAGGCAACCUCACCGGCUUUGUGAGAGAGAACGGCGGGGACACCUGAUCGGGACGUGCCAACAGUGGGUUUUCGCCGUCGGUGACGGCCACUAGAUCUACACUAAGCAUCCACCCCUUCCCCAAGCGGACGUGAUCCGCCGGGAUGUUAGAGAUGUGGCCACAGUCGUUUUGUGCGAGAGAGUGUGAAGAGAGCAACCCCAACAAGCAACCGUGUAGGCUGGCCCGUCCUGACUAUGUAUAUAGUGGAGCGAUUUCCUUUACUCUCGAUAUAAACCUAUCAUAUUGCGUACGUGCCACUGAAAAAAAAAA